UUUUUUUUUUUUUUUUUUGUUAUUAACAUCUUUCUGGUAUCUGGAAAAUGACAACAGCCAUCAUGAGAGGGACCCCAAGAAUAAUUGCUCACAAUGAGUAGACACAACUCACGGGUGGUUUAAAAUAUUGUGAGAGUACCUAUGACUAGUCACAACUUGAAAAAAAAAAAGAAAAGAAAAGAAAGUGAUUAGUUUAAUUUAUGUCAAAAGUGAUUUCCUGUAAAUUAUUUUUGGGAAUUAAAAGUUUGUCAAAUAAAAAAUGUUCUAUAGUAAAUUUUGUUACAUCAGAUUUAGUAGGUGCAUUAGGUUGACUAUUAGAUGCUACUAUGCUGAUUAGUUAAGUUUAAACUUGAAUGAAACAUAAAGAAAAGUUGUUGUCUUGUCGAGUUAGUUUGGCAUUCAUAUUUCCACAGUAUUUUAACUUGCAAGUUUGGCCCACUAAUCAAUUAACUUGAACUUCUGGUUCUAGAUUCGGAGUACCAAAUGAGUCAAAAGAGAAGUUCUAAUUAAUUCUUUGAGUACCCUUUGCUUUUUGGAUUACAAAAUUGUUCCUCCAUUUUUUGUCCUGUACGGAAUUUUGUGUUCAUCCCAAGUAAAUAUUGAAAACAAAUAAAUGAUAUUUUAGAGCAUGUUUGGAUUGCAUGACUUUACGAGAUUUUGGAGAAAAAUUACUGUAGCACUUUUUUGUAGGUAAAAAGGUGAUGAUGUAUGUGAGAUAAAAAUGGUGGUUGAAAAUUUUGAGAAGGAAUAUUCUCACGAUAACUUAAAAAAAAAUUUCUGCAAAAAAAUGCAAUUCAAAUAAGGUCUUACUUUUUACUUAGUAGAAAAGAUUACUAUUUGAAUUAUGAUUUUUUUUUUUACUUCCCACAUUUCUUCACAUCCUUUCUAUCCUUCAACUGGUAGGCUCAAGAACUAUUUGAAUUAUAGCUUAACUACAAGUAGCUUGAUAUUUUCCUUGUUUUUUUGUAUGUCAAUUUCAAAUCAAGAAUUGCCGUCAAACUAACAACAAUCACAAACAAGUAUGUUCACUCUAUUCUGUUUGCAUAUGGGAAAAAAAAAUCUUCUGAUAAUAUAUGAUCUUCUUGUUGAAAUUUCUUCCUGAUUGUGGUCCUAUAUAUGCAAUACAUUUUUAUUGAAAUUGAAGGUUGUUCGUCGAAUUUAUAGGCAAUUCUAGUUUUUUUCAAAUGAGCACGAGUCUAAAAAUUUGAUAUCAUUGCACUUUAUUUAUAGCUUAAUUAUUAGCACAGGAUUAAGAUAAGAAUAGACGAAGAUGAUAGAGAGCUGUCUCCAAAACAUUUAUGAUGAAAGUUAUCUUUAAAGAAAUUUGUAAAGUGAUCUAUAGACAGGUGGCCUAGAUCCUUAAUGGUGAAUUUAAAAUCAUUAAAUCCACAAUAAGAGGGCUGCACAACUGUUGCGAAAAGGUUUACCAAAUGGGCAAUUGGGGGUAUUUUUAAAAUAUUUUACGGUAACAAUUUGGAUGAAAAAUUUUUACUGUAAAUAUUUUUAAUGGUGUUUUUGAAAAUAUAUUUCGAAACAUUUUUAAAAUUAAAAUUUUAAUGAAACAUUUUAAAUUUUAUAAAAUCUUAUAACCACUCGUCACUAUCCCACCCUCCCUCUAUCCACCCUUUUCCGCCACCCCCUCCCACCUUUUCUGGUCGCGGGUCGCAACUAGAAAAUGGUCGCCGCCCGCAACUAGAGAGCAGGAGAGGGGGCCGGUGAAAGAGACGUGGGGAGGAAGGAGGAGGGGAGGAAGAAAGAGAGGAGAAAGGGGAGGGGAAGAGGGAGAAGGAGAAAGAAGAAGGGAGGAGAGAGGGGGAAGGGCGGCGGGUGGUGGUGUGUUUUGGUAGUCGGUAGUAGGGGUGCUGGUGUAUUUUUUUUUUUGUAUAUUUGGAGUUGUUUUUUAUGUAUUGUAUAGAUGUGGUGUUUUUUAGUUGUUUUUAUUUAUGUAUUACAUAAUAUUACAUAUGAAAAACUUGUGUCUUAAAAAUUGAGAAAUCCAAACAAAGGCAUGGUCUUGUAGAUAAUAUGACUCAAAUUUUGCUAGAUCUUUAAUUUUUGAAUUGGUGAAAUGGUAUGAGAAUAGGGAUGGCAACGAGGGCGGGCACCCGCAGGGGGUCAUUGGGACGGGGGGGAAUUUUUUCCCCCCGUUUGAAAAAAAUAUAUAUAUGUGCAUAAUUAUAUAUAUAAUGAUAUUAUCAAUUAUACUACUAAUUAUACAUGUCUAUUAAUAAAAAUUAUUAAUUAUUUAUACUAAAUUUAUUAAUACAUUUAUGUUAAAUUCCUAACUACACUUAAUACAAUAACACUUUUUUCUAAAAAAAAAAACACAAUAAUAAUUUAGUGAUUGUAUUUGUAUCAAAAGUGAAAACUUGAUUAUUUUAGUUAUAUUUGUUUUAUCAUAUUAGAUUGUAUUCAAAUAACCUUUGUUUAAUUAUUUUUAUGAGUUUCAAUUGUGAAGUUAUAAUGAAUAAUAAUUUGAUGAUAUGUUAAUAUUUUAGUACUUGAUUAUUUGCUCAAAUUUAAUUAUAAUAAAAUUAUAUAAUAAAAUUUUUUUAACUCCACUGGUACCCCAGUAGGGGAAGCAAGGGGAACCCCUAUAUGAGAAUUCCCAAUUGUGUCAAACUUUCCAUUUUCGCCUCUUAGAAAGAAAAGAACUUAAAUCAAUAAAAAAGUAUUAGGACUUUUAGAAUAAUUCAGUAACCAAAAAUUUCUUAUUUAAAAAACUAAAGGAAUGGAUUUAAUUCCAACUUUCUUGAUCAGUAUACUGCUUCUUUUAGACACACAUCCCCUCUUAUUGGAUCAUUGGCUUUACCCAAGUGUUCGCCUACCAAAUAUUGGAAGGGGUUAGAAGCAAAUAGGGUUAAAAAAUGAACCAAACUAUUUGAUACUCGAAUCGAAUUCAAUUUGGUAAGAAUUUGUUGGAAUUUGGUUCACCAACUAGUCAAGUCAAAUUUAAAUUGCGUUUUAUAUUUAAUAAUAUUUAAAUUCGAUAAAAAUCUCGUUCAACUCGAUCCAACAAAUAAAUAAGUCAAGGUUAAACAAAAUUUCAAACUUGUUAAUUAAUCAAGCAAGUUUGAAUACUAAAGUGUUCAGUUUGAUCAGAUUCAUUUAUAUCCCUAGAAGAAAGUAGAGAUUUAUAUCAAUGUCAAAAUUGAAGACAUUUCAACUAUUUAAGAUGUUCUUCGAUGUUGAAGCCGCAUUUCUUAUACGUUUAAUUGUGUGCAUAUGCUUUUUUUAUGCUUUAAAAUUCCUAGAUUCCAUCAUAUGUCUGUAUAUAUAUUUUUUCUAAGCUUUAAUUCUUUGGGAUGAUCAAAUGACACAUUUAUGGAAUUAUAGAAUUAUGUGCCUGUCACUUGCGUCUACGUUGUGUGAUUUUACUUUUGAUACGGUUAAGAAAAGCCCACUCGAUCACAUGGCCAUCCUCCUCCACCUUUUGUUUUUCUUUUACAUAUUAUACAUUUUUUAAAUCAUUUUGGUGUGAUAAAACUUAAAAGGUUAUAUCUCACUUCAUAAAAAGGUUGCCCAAAUUAUGCCUAAAGUAGGGUUUUUCUCAACAACCAGAUAAAAAAUACAAAGCGUAUUUUUGUCUUUGUCAAACGCAUAUUUUACUAGACUCAACUGGAUCUGUCUAAUGAGUCCCUAUUAGUUUAGGUGUUAAUACUUUGAAAAUCCAAACUUAAAUAUAAAAAGCUUAUAAACGCAGGGUACGUUAAUGAUUUUUAGUAUGUAAAUUCAUAUUAUAGAUUAUGUGUCAUUUAGAUGUCUUAAUAACUGUGCACGUUGAAUAUCCGUUAGAAAAAUCUAAAUAAAUUUUGGCAUUGGAUAAAUAUAAUGGAUGUAGAUUAAUAGUAUCAACUCGACCCUUUCAAUCCAAAAAAAUAAAAAAAUAAUUUCACUUUUAACAUGAUAGACGGUUAAUUUAGGCAUGAAUUGGGAGUUCUUUACAGAGAAAAGAGAGAAAAGAUAAGGAGAUGGAAAAAUCCUGUCAAGAAAGAAAAAGAUAUAAUUUUCUUAUGUCUUAGGACCUUAAGAAAAAAGAAAUUGAUUUAGAUUUAUGAAUUAUUUUUGUUGUUUGUUGUGUAGAGUUGGUACUAUAGAAAAAUCUUUUUAUCUGGGAUUAGUUUUCUCCCCAUUUUCUCCCCUUUUGGAUGGAAAACUUUUUAGCAAAAGUUACCAAUCCUUUUCUUGCUCUAUAUAUAUAUUUUUUCCAUUUCUUUUCUUUUCCUACCAUUUUUGACUUCCAAAAGGCUAGUCUACGGCUUAGAAUCGUGGCACCUUAAUCCUCCUUUCCGUCUGAAUUAAAACCAGAAGAAAGAAUUCCUUAAUCAAAACUGCUCUAUGUUAUUGUCAGACUACGGUCUACUUAAUAGGAUAAUUAACUCCACAACCAUAAAUUAAUUACAAUAACUCCCGUGACCACUAAUUGCAAGUAUGUGAUUAUUGGAUGCCUAAGCUUAGUAUAUUAUUUAAACCACUUUAAAUAAAGGUUUAGUUAAUAAUCACUCGUUAAGAGGAAUUCAACUGUUAAUUUUUUUAGUAAAAAAUGUUAUUAAUUUGAAAAAAUAUCUAAAUAUAGCGGUGCAAUAAUUAAUGUAUGUUCAUAUGGUAAGUUUGGUAUAAAUUAGAUGUACUAAUAACAAGCUGCUGAGUUACUAAAAUCCUUAUACAAAUAUUAGAUAGAUUUUUUUUUUUCUAAUGACUGCCCACUAUCAUUUAGCAUACCUAAAUUAUUAUGUGAAUGCACAAAUUUGUUUCUUUUAUCGAACUGCAUUUAGUAACUUUCCUAAAUUAAUUUUACCUUUAUAAAAAAUUUAUCUUUCAAACCUUUUUUAACGAGUGCCAACUAGGCAUCGCGUAAACUUAAACCCUUUUCAAGGAGUAAAAAUAUUAGUUUAAGAAUUUACCAUUUUAGAGGUGGAGUUCAUAAAUAUACUUGUGUAUAUAUUUAUUUGUGUUUGAAAUCUAUGCCUAGAAAGUUAUAAAAAAGUGAAAAUUGUUGUCUACAACCUUCAAAUUAAGCAUAAAUUAGGAAAAAAUGUAUUUUUUUAAAAACUAUUGUAUCACUGUUAAUUAGUCCAAGGAAAAUUGAAAAACUUUUAUUGCUGUAUUCUUCAAUUUGUAGGGUGAACAACAGGAGACUAAUGUCAAGAAUUACUAUAAACAAUAGUUAUGGUUAAUGAUUCCCCUUAAAAAGGGGUGGGUUUGGUUUGGGCAGCUGCCUUUCCUUUGCUUCUCUUUAACUUUACAAAAAGUGAGAAUUUACCAAAACCCAUCUUUUUUCUUCUCUUCUCUCUUGCUUUCUUUCAUACUGUCUCUUUUUCUCUGUCAAAACAUCAGUCUAUUCAAACUUGCCUUUGCUCUGCUGCUGCAACAACUGAUCAAGCAAUCACGUUAUUUACAAGCAAGGACCUUAAGUUUCCAGUUUUUCCACUCUCAUUUUGCAUAUUUUACAUGAUCUGUAAGUUUAGUUCCUUCUCUUCCUUUCUCCCUUAGCUCUCUUCCUUUGCCUUUACUCUUCUGUGGUCCUCCAUUUCUCUGUGCGGUAGAGGUAAUCACUUAGCUUUCAAGUUUAUUUUUUUCUCUAAAAUUUACCUUAAAGUCAAGUGCUUUUCUGGGUAUGCAGUAAUUUUUUCCUCUAAUAUUUUCCAACUAAUAUUCUUGUUUAAUCUGCAUAAAGUUCGUAUUUUGAUGUGAUUAUUUUCUGGGUAUGACUUAUUUUGGAUAUUCAUGUGUCUUUUGAUUGUAUACCUGUUGAUUUUGUUGGGCUUUAUUAGAUUACUUCUUUGAUAGGCAUGAAUCAGUGGUAAAGAUUGUAUUUUUUUCCCAUUUGUGAGGGUGUUUAGCAUGGUUAUGUUUACUCUUAAAAUUUCAGAUUAAUUGCUGAAGUGUUUUUCUCACACACCCACAUUCUAGUUUGCGCUAAUGUAUAUUUAAAGGUUUUUUCUAGGAGAUUAUUGGGUAAUUAGUGUUGUUUGAAUGGAAAAUUUUAAGGGAGAUUAUUGGAUAAUUAGUGUUGUAUUUGUACUGGAAUUUUAUUUAUAAUUUUUUGUGGGUGCAUUUUCUGUAGUUAAGUUGAAAUUAUGACGAGGGUAGGCCGUGAUUUUGGAGAUACAAUGCAAAAGGAGGCAGUCCCACCAGUUUCAGCUGAUGUGGUGUUUACUUCUAGUCGGUUUCCAAAUUACAAGAUUGGAGCAAACAAUCAGAUUGUGGAGGUGAAGGAGGACCCCAAAGUUUUAUCUAUGAAAGAGGUGGUUGCAAGGGAGACCGCCCAGUUGCUGGAGCAGCAAAAACGCCUCUCAGUUCGGGAUUUGGCCAGCAAGUUUGAGAAGGGCUUGGCUGCAGCUGCCAAGUUGUCUGAUGAGGUUUUUUUGAUACGAGUCAUGGAAAUUUUUAAGUUUUUUCUUUCUCUAUUGUCUGUGGUACAACUGCCUUUGCAACCGGACUAACUUUGAACUUUUGCGAGGUUGGAAUCGUCAUAAAUUGGCAUAUAAUGUCUAUUCUACUAUCUGGGAAUAUCCUAUUGCAUUUUUCUUUCUAGUUGAUGUGUUAGAUGGGAUAUUUUGAACAACCCAAAUUAAUGUUUGUCAGUGACUUUUGGAGGGUGUGAUGCUCCUUUGCACUUGCACGAGUAUUAUGGAAAAAUGGUUCGAACCAUUUAGUUUGGACGUAUUGCAUGAGAUGUUCAUUAAAGGAAUUGUAGUUUGUAAUAUUUAGGUUUCUAGAUGACCUGCAUUGGUUCAUGUAAAGGUACGAACAUGUAGACUUGAAGAUGCAACAAGUUGUGCAUGGGGAAGUGAUGGUAAUUUAUAAGUGCCUGUCUUGGAAACUUGUUUUUGGGGUUGGGGCGGGGGGGGGGGGGCAUUCUUUAAAACAGAUUCUGUUUUCAAAUUUCCUGGCCCAGCUUUAAUGCAAUAGUAUUAAGGAAGUAUGGUGCCUUUGAUGACAUUGAAAGAUGUUCCUUGAUCCAUUUCAGGCAAAACUCAGAGAGGCAGCUUCUCUGGAGAAACAUGUCUUGUUAAAGAAGCUUAGAGAUGCACUUGAAGCUCUAAGAGGACGCGUUGCUGGCAAAAACAAAGAAGAUGUAGAGGAAGCUAUUGCUAUGGUCAGUAUUUGUGGCUUUUACUGUUUUAUUUUUUUUAUUUGUGGUAUUUCCUGAUCAUGUUUAGAAGGAUGGACAUGGAUUUGACAUGACCUGGGCAUUUGUGGUGAAAUUUAUCUAAAAAUUAGGGUACAGAUUUUCUGCAAAUUAUAUAUGUCUGUGUGCAAAUUUAUAUAGAACGUUGUUGUUAUAACUUGAUGUUUUGGUUAAGACCCCAAGACAUAAACAGAAUUCUGCAGUUAUACCCAAGAAUCUCAUGGGCCAUGUGCAAAGCAUAUCUUGAGAAAUUCUUGCUAUUUUUCUGAAUUGCUUUAGGGAAACUAUUUUUUACAUGUUUAAAUAAUGCUUUAGCUUUGCGUAUCGCAAAAUUGUUUUCCAUUUUCUGUUUUCAGUUUCAAACAAAAAUCUCUUGGGCUUCUUUUUGUUACAGUACUUUAUUAGCUACUGCUUUUGAAAAAGGGAAAAAAUUUGGUCUGUUUUGGUGAAAUUUUGUGCUGGUUUGUGAAGAUGUAGGUAUGAAUAUACCUGUGAGUUCUUAUGCUUUUGAAUUCUGUUAAGUAUUGGGCAAAUUUGGAAUAAGGGAACAGGAAGAGCGGAAAUUCACAAGUAGGGUGCAAGUUUUGGGAAAUUAAUUAAUGGGGUAUGGGUUACCAUUCAUAAACUAUAAAAAUGUUGUCGCUGUAGGUAAAAUUAUGAAUAAUCUUAUCUGCACAUACUAGCACUUGUAUAUGCACAUUCGAGCAUACAUAUGUGCACAUGUAUCGAUUUAAAUAUGCACAUUUGAAUGUACGCCUAUAUACACCAAAGUACACAUUUUAAUUUGUUAAGUUGCACAUUUCUAUUCAACAGGUUCAACAGGGUGCACAUUGUUACAAGGAAUUCAGUCAUUUAGCAAUAAAUUUAUUAGUUAAUUUAAUUCAUGAACAAUAACCCAUUCGCUGUUUGCAAAUUUUCUAAAAGUUACACUCUACUUAUAAAUUUUCGAUCUUCCAAUAACCUUUUUCAAAAUUUCCAUUAGGUAUUUAUUAAAGAUGGAAAUUUAUCAUCUCCACUUUAUGUGGAAUUUCAAGCAAGCUGUCUAUAUUCAUUCUACGGAUUAGGGUAUGUUCAUUAAGUUUUAUGAUUAACUCAAGUAUCUUUAAAGAACCCAAUUAAAACAAAAAGGAAUACUGCUGCUUCUAGAAAUAAGAAAAUUUUAACUUUGGACUAUGAAAAGGUGGAAUAUUUCACCAAUAAAGAUUGCCGGCCACAAGCGUUUUUUGUUACCUCACUGGGAUUUCUGUACUUUUAAAUUCUUACUCCUACAAAAACAAAGCAAAAUUCUCUCAAAAUUCUAGGUCUAGGGAGAGGACAGCAGAUGCUUUUGCUCAGAGCUUGUAUUUUCAUGCUAAACUAAGAAGCAGAAGAUCUAUCUAAUCUUGCUGGGGCUGCUUAUGUGCUUCUGCACCGUCUCUCACUUUCUUGCUGUUUUCAUUUACUUGAGAAAUGUUUGAUUUUGGAAGAGCAUUUUUUUUGGGUCUUUUUCCUUUUCCUUGGUAAGAUGGCGUUCUCUUUUAGCAUCUAAUCUUUUCAAAUUCUAGUUAAUUACUAUUGUGAUCCAAUAUUUGGUCUAUGUAGCUUUAAGAACUGUUGUAUAUUCGUUUUGGUCUACAUUACUAAGAUGCCAAUACAGGGUUGUAUGAGGUGGUUGGUUGUUUUGUUGGUGACAUAUUGUUUUGUAUAUGCUAAUUUAUUGUUGAAAGUUGCUAAUAUUUUGCACUUGGAAAUGUUUAGGUUGAGGCUUUAGCUGUUCAGUUGACCCAGAGGGAAGGAGAGCUAAUUCAGGAGAAGGCAGAAGUCAAAAAGCUUGCAUCUUUUCUGAAGCAGGUAUAAUUUAAGUAUGUAGUAUUGCAUGAGCCAGGAAGUCUCAAAAAGCAUUUCAGGACUAAUAUCAAUUACUAAUUUCUAGAUGUGAUUAUCAGCUUUUUUAAAUCUGAAGUUUUAGCUUUUAAAUCAAGUUCAAGUGUUGUAUUGUUAAUGAUACUGUUUUCCGUAAAAUUCUUCUAUCAAUCCAUUUAUCAUGUCUUAAUUCUUAAGAUAAAUGAUUUUCUUGCAAACGUCUAGGUUUCUACUCUAUCAUUAUUGUGUUCUCCCUUAAAGGUGAUUUGUAUGUCCUUUUGUUUUUGAAGAAAGUUCUAUUGAUAGAGAAGAUAAAAGUGAAGUCGUGUAAAGUCAAAAUUCAGCAUGUUUGUUCUCUUUGUACAGGUUGUCCGAAGAACACCAAUAUGUUUUUAAGUGGUAGCUGGGUCCAGUGUGAACCUGAAAAUGUUUUUUUAGCAGUAAUGCUAUAUGUAUGAUUGCUUAAAUGUAUAAAGUAUGUGGUAAUACAGACGACAAGAAGGUGAACAAAUGACAUGUAGGCCUGAAAUGCAUGACUUGAUGGAGGAAGAUUUUUUUAAUGAAAUAUCCCUGAAAUGUUGGGAUUUUCACUAUUAUGCAAUUCAAAUUUAGCGAAACUUAAUUUAACAAGCGAAGUUUAUCCUUCUUUUUUAGUAGGUUCCCACAGAAAAUAUCUAAGACUCAUCCUUGAAAGUCUUUUCAAUGUCCAUAAUUGCUUAUCCAGUUGUGGAAGCAAGCUAUGUCGACCAUCAUCCAAAGUUAUUGCUGUCUGAUGGUAGAUCUGUUCUAAGGAAUGUUGUGUAUUUUUAAGUGUUUAUAGGAUUCAACUUGGUAGCAUUCUUACCCUUCUUUGCCUAAUCGAAUCUCUUUCUUCAAUCUAGUACGAACCUUUGAACUGCUGUAGAUUAUAGAUGAAACUCCAGAAUUAUAAUUAAGAAAAUUAUUAUUUUCAACCGAUGGUUUUCAGUAACUCGAUUGAUCUUCUUUUAGCCAAUAAUCGAUAGAAGACCUGUUUAUCUUCUGUGAAUGGUGACAAGUUCUAUGAUAUUUUUUUGGUGGAUUAGAAUGAUGCUUUGGUGGAUGCUCAUGAUGCAUGUAGUAGGCUAAUACCAGGCUGUCAUAUCAUAGUGUCUUUCUUUGCAUGUUUUGUUUUUUGUAGUAAUUGGCUCAUCAUCGUUAGCUAUUUUGGAGUAAAUUUCAUGUGCUGAUCGUCCUUUCCUCUUUUUCUUUGUUUACUAAAACUGUAUGCAGCAGCUUUUCUGGGCAAUUUUGGGGAAUAGGAGAAGUUUUCCAGCAUGACUUUAAAAAAGACUGGGGGGGCCUAUUUUCAUCAUUUACUUAUGUGGUCAUUCUUUCAUGUUUGUUCUGCUGUUGGCUUGAGUUGAUGACAUGAAGCUUUGUAGGCUUCUGAAGAUGCUAAAAAACUUGUUGAUGAAGAAAGAGCUUUUGCUCGGGCUGAGAUUGAGAAAGCCAGAGAAGCAGUACAAAGAGUUGAAGAGGCUCUUCAGGAGCAUGAACGGAUAUCCCGGGCUUCAGGACAACAGGUUUCAUUCAAAGUUCCUUGGAAUUACUAUCUGCCAAAAACUUAUAUUUUCCUUGUAUUCUUGUUUCCAUACUUGUCGAGCAUUUAUAUCUUUUCAACUUUUAGUGCUUUGCUAUUGAUUUGUAAUAAGAAAAGUAGGACCAUGAUUGAGUUCAUGAAUGCCUGAUAUAUGGGCUCCGGAAAUGACACCAAAUUGCCUGUUUUACAUUGACUAAGUACAAGUUUCAAGUACAACACCUAUGUCCAAAAUUUAUAGAAUUGGGACUUCUUGUUCAAUUACAGGAGUUGAGUAUUCAUAAGUUAAUACUUUUCCUCAUUCUCAACAAGCUCAUCUUGGUAUGAUUGGGAGGUAAUCUUAGGUUGAACAUCUUAGAAGUGCUAAAGGCUUUGUAGUAGCAUAGAAUUUCCAUCAACACCUAGCAAAGAGCUACAAUGGGAAAUUUGGUGGACUUUGGAAAUCAGCAGGUUUUCAGUAGCAAAACCAGAAGCUGCAUGGUUAUCCUCAUGUAUCAUGCAGCUAUGUGCUCACGGAUAAAGCAAUAUAAGAUAUCCUUUUUUCUAGAUACACCCCAAGAGACGUGUCUUAGCCAUAGCGUGUUGGUGUCAAAUAUCUGAGAUGGAUAUUUGGGUACUUUUCAUGAUCUUAAAAUCUUACCAAGUCCUACUACAAGUAUUAUAAAUCUGUUUUUUGUAAUUUUUGUUUCCCUCUUGUUCAGAACGUCGUUUUCAGCAGUUAAAAAGGUUUGAAAGGCCUUGCAGAAAAUCUUUAUGUACCUUAGCUUUCAAACCAAUGUUAAAUAACUUUGGUCAUCCGAAGGAAAGAAAAAGCUUAAAGAAAAACUGAAGCAAAAGGCGACGAGCACUACUGAUCAAGAUACAUAUAAUUUUUUGGCAGUGAAAUCUGAUUUUGAACCAUACAUCAGGCUCUUCUUUACUCUUCUCAUGUAUAAGAAGUUAAAUCCUUUAACAAAAGCAAUUUUUGCCUAUUGAAACUAUCUCACUUUCUUGCACUUUAUUUGUGUAGAAUUUUGGUGUGAUCUGUACCGUUUGUAAUCGCAUUGUCUUGUUUUGUAAUCAGGACAUAGAUGAGUUGAUGAAGGAGGUUCAAGAGGCUAGACGGAUUAAAAUGCUUCAUCAGCCUAGUAAGGUUGUUAAUUCUGUUCCACUGUGUCUAGAUAGCAUAAUUUCUUUUAUCUCCUCUUGUUCUACAUUUCUUUCAUGUGUUGCAUAAGUGUAGUUUUGUUUAUAAACAAAUUCGUGUUGCAGUCAUUUUUUUCCCUCUUAUCUAAGAAAAGGAAAGAGGAUACCUUGAAUUGGCUCACCACUUUAUCAUGUCUCUUUUGUGGUUUAGACAAAAUUCUUUGGGGAUUUUUUUUUGCAACAUUAACAAAUGUUGGUAGUCCCUUAUCUAAUAACAAGACAUCAGUUGUGGAUUGAUUUGGUGAUUACUUCUUGGCAGUAAAGAGGUUGCCAAGUAGCCUUUUUUUCCUAAAAGUCAACCACAAUGUAUGUCGGAUUUGCAAAAAUCUCCAAAUAGUUUAACUGAAUGAAUUUGGUUUCACACGAUGAUAAUCUCUUUUAUCAUUUAAAUUUGAUCAUUAAACGCUACUCUGUCUUGUUCAGGACAUUGGGUUGGAAUUUGUUGCAAUUUAGAUGACAUUUCUUGUCAUUCUCUCAUGUCUGUCAUGUGUUGUUCAUUUCUUCUGGGUAUAUCUUUGAUGGCAUAGAAAAUUCCUUGUUUCAGCUAAAAGAGUAACUGCUGCAUAUGGUAAACCAUUCAUCCAUCUUUUUGGUAUAUAGUAAAUCACAAUAUGAUUGUUGUUUACAAAACAAUUCCUGAAACUAACUCCAAACCAAAUGAAGCAAAACACAUGUUUCGACAUGCAUGCAGUAUGCAGCUCCAUUUCAUGUAUCAGAUACGGGAGAAACCCAAGACAAUUUUGGUAAAAUGGGGCUGUACAUGGGAGUCAUAUCAAUGUUUUAUAGUUUUUCCUUUAUCCCAAAUAAAUAAACGUAAGAUUCGUUAUAAAUUGUUGUCUUUUCUGCACCAUACGUGUAUUGACUAUUACUUCAUUCACGUGAAUAUGAAUUGGUCUGAAGAUUGUUUAGCUUCUUCUUUGUACCUUCAUCAUUUGUCUGCUUGAGUUUCUAGAGGAUGUUUUUCCACAGAGAAGUUGUCUGGCAGGGUUAGUUAGAAGUCUGUCAUGUUUCCCUCAUGAUUAAUAUUUCAAAUUACCAAUUUCACAGGUCAUGGACAUGGAACAGGAGCUUCUGGCAUUGAGGCUUCAGCUUGUAGAAAAGUCGAAGCAUUCACUGGUGCUUCAGAAAGAGGUUCUUAAUUCGCUCAUCUCUCCUUUGCAAAUGAUAAAUCGGGGAAUGGUAUAUAUUAACAGAAGAAAAGAAGAAAUAUGAACUCAAAAGGAGUGAUUUGGUGUUGCUGCUUGAUGUACACCUACUAGUACACGCUCAAAAUGCUCUCAGUAAUUACUGCUCUAAUUUAUAAUCUGUAAUAAGCUGUCGACAGAUUCUCAGUGGGUUGAACAUCUGUUAAAUGUUGUCUGAAGGGGUGAUUAUGUAUAGUUGGCUCAUAAUUUUAAAUAAGUUUGCCAAUCUUCUUAUCUGACUAAAACAUGAAUUAGUGAUGCAGAGAACUAGGAAUGGGAGACUUAAAUUCUACUGAGCUGCAAAAACUUGGGCUACUUCCGUUGUUGUCACUGUAUCUUGAUUGAUAAUCAACUCUAAAAUGGAUAAUUGAUUUCCAAUUUGGAAGCGUGAUACAGUUUGAGGAGUUCUAGUAGGAGAAUAUAAUCUUGUAUUCAAAAUCUGGCAGUUGCAAUAUAAAAGGGAAAUACUUAGUUGAAGCUAUUUGUUGGAUUUCUUAGGCAAAAUAUGUGAGUUUUUUCAAGUUGAAUGGAAUGCCAGAGAGCAUAAGGGCUUGGCCUUGUAAAGUUGAAAACAUGUUACAAAAAUCUGCAUGGUGUUUCUAGUUUAACCGUAAGCUAAUAUAGAAGAAUAAUGUAGUGGUGUUCAAAUCCAUUCCCCGCAAUUUGAACCUCGAUUAGCUAUCUUUCAUUUUUAGUUUUUGUAAAGUUCUGGGUUAAAACUUAUAUUUGUUGAUUGUGUGGUUAACAUGGUAUAAAAGGCAGUUUGCUAGCUAAAACAUUUUCUUUUGUUUUCUUUGUCAUUUUCUGAAGUUGGCAAUGAACAAAAGGAGUGAGGAGAACAUGUAUGAAUUAGAUGGCACUGAAGCAUUGGGCUCAUAUUUGCGGAUAUGUCCAUGCUCAGAGAGAGCUCUAGAAUUGUCAGAAUGUUCAUUUCAGUGGUACCGGUUAUCAUCUGAAGCUGGGAAAAAGGAACUUAUUUCAGGUAUACCUGUUAAAGCCUUUAUUUCACAUGUAACUAUGUAAAGAGUUCUUUCUUGUUACAAGAGAGUUGCAGGUUUAAGAUCUGUAAUCCAAAAUACAAGACACAUGCUGGUCUGGUAGAUAUAUGCAUUUUUGGUGCCCAAUAUUUGCUUUUUAUUCUUCUUGAUUAACGUGGUUUCCUUCUCAGUUGUUUGGGUUUUGUGUCUUUCCCCCCAUUUUUGUUUUUUUUUUUCAAGUGUGUGCUUAAAAGUCUUCUCAAUGUGGUCUUAAAAGUCUUGUACUUCUGCUUUAGUGUUGACAAUUGUUAUGUUUUGAGGUUGCCUUCCAGUACUGGGAAAUGAACUAGUGACAUGUUGGAUGUGAUAAAUAAGAGCCUCCAUCUGGAAACUUUGUACUUCUGAAUUAUUGUUGGCCAUAAUUGAGAAUCAUGGUUUUGCUGCAUCUUAUACAACUGUCUAAUGAUGAUUGCUAUUAAUUAAGGGCAAGGUUUUAGUUGAAGAUUCCUGGCCUCUGAUUAAAGUUUUUCUGUCUAUUGGUCAUUAUCUCCUUGGACUUAUCUGAUUUUUAGGUUGUAUGCAUAUGUAGCAGUCAAUGGUAUUCAAGCUGGUGCUUGAUGUUACAUCAUGCUUCAAAUGUUUUGAAUUCUCAUGUUUUUCUGUUUUCUACUAUGCUAACUCAAGUGAAGAAAUGCACGGUUUGGCUUUUGGAAUACCUUUUGAUUUAUCCCAUCUUACACACUGGAAGUGCAACUUAUAAAAAUAUGCAUGUCUUAUGACUGUUGUGAAUCUGUUCAUGGUACCUUCUGUCCCAUUUUUGUCAAGGCGUUACUUUCAUUAAGAAAUUAGGCACCCAGAUUAUUGAUCAAAGUAGCAUUGGAUUAUGCUGAUUGAUCAAUUUUUAUUAUUAGGUUGUAGACAUAGCAGCCAAAAUUGUAACAUUGAAAUUGAAGAAUUAUAUUUUAAAGUAUAGGAGUGAAUACGCUUGAAAGCUCAAAUCGACACAAUCAACAGUAUGGUAAAGUGGAUGAUGGAACAUAUUGCAAUUUCUCCAAAAAAAUGUGUUCCAUUUUAUUUGAACUGCAAGCCGUUUUAGUUGGAACUGCAUCCCCAUACUGAUGAAUAGGAGUCUAUUAUGGAUUCAACCAAGAAUUCUUAUGGUCUCUCUCCUUUGGCCUUAUUUUAUGACUGUUUUUUCACUCUGAUAGCAGGAUCAACUCAUUUUAUAUCACAAAUUUUCUUUCACAUUACAGUCCUUUAUAGUUACCUUGAUUAUAGCUUCAUCUCUGAAAUAUGAUUAACAAACUUUGCAUAUAAACAGGCGCCACUAAAUCAGUUUAUGCACCUGAGCCUUUUGACGUUGGUCGAAUUUUACAUGCUGAAAUAAUAUCAGAUGGCCAAAUGACGACGGUGGCAACUACUGGUCCUAUUGAUCCUGGUCUGUUCUUGAUCCUGGAUUUUAAAUAUGUAAUUUGAUUACGGGAUUUUUUUUUUGGCCUUUUCCUUUUCCGGAAUAGCCAAGUCAAGUUUAUGUUCACUCUUUUCGCUAUAUGCUACUUCUUUCUACAUUUUAGGGUUCAGGUCAAGUGUGCAAUAUUACUGAUUCAAUAUUUGUAACACAGCUCCAGGAUUAGGGAACUAUGUGGAAGCAUUGGUCCGGAGGCAUGAUAUCGAAUUUAAUGUAGGUUAUUCUUUCUUUCAUUUCAAUAAAGUUGUGAUCAGUUUACUUGUUUUACUCUGUGGCAUGACUUGAAUCAAUCUGUCUGUGGGAAUUCAACAUGUUAAUCUUAAUAGGAUCUCCGUCCUAAUUGUAUUUCCAGCGUAUACAGUUAAUUCCAGGACUUGAAAAUUUUGGAAGAUGCUAUGUUAUGAAAUAUUGGAGAUCUGAUUUUUUACUAUGUAUUUGCAUCAAUACAGCAAGAACCCUUUUCUAUGGGUAUUAGUGCCAUCUAAUCUAAUGUAAAAGUGGACACUUGUUUUUCUCAAUUUAAUUUUAGGUAACUAUAGUGCAGUGAGACAUUAUAGACUUUGUUCCAUUCAAUUUUUUUCAUACUCUAGUAUGGAUUAGAACUUUGUUUUGUCAUAGAAUGUAUUGGUACACAUUUUAAGUGCUUGCAAACACACAAGAAAUUAUGUUUAGUUUGGAGAAUGUUUAUGGUUUAUACAUAUAGUUACUUAUGAUUCACAUGUAUGCAAAGACUAGUUGCCCAUGUCAAGGAAAAUGGAGGAAGUGGUGAUGCACCACUUAACUUUUAUUCAUACAUAUUGCUAAAUGUUGUUGUAUGAAGAUUCCCAUUCAUAUAAAGAAUGCGUGGGUAAUAUUUUCUCUGAGGCAUGUGUCACAUAACUUCAAUAUAAAUAAAAAGAAAGUAAUGCCUGUUAUUUAGUCUUAGCUAGGGAGUGAAAACUUAGUUGGUUCCUGAAUUUUUAUUAUACAAAAUUCUUGGUUGUCAAAGUAUUAAUUGGAAGUGGAGUGACCUGUAUGUUUUACUUGCUCUCCGGAAAGAAGAUAAGCAUAUAAGCACUGCUUGUUCUCUAGAGCUUGGAAUGUUACUAGUUGCCGUCUAUAGAAACAGAAAUACUAUGCAAACUUCUUUAAUUACAAUGAGCUAGUUGUUAGGGCUAUAAUUCUCCUUGUGUAGAUGCACGGCCUAAAUUUAAUUAUCCAGUUGGGGCUAAAUUAAAUCUUAUGUGCUGCCUAUGUCUAUUGCAAUGGUAUUUACUUAUUCGUUUUAACUAUCUAAUUUGACGCACACACUCAAUAUUGUUUUCCUUGAAACUCUAAAUUCCUGUCAAAAAGUCUCACAUUACAUUGUAAUAAUUUAGCAUAAGAAUAUCCCAAUGCAUUCAUUUUCAUCUAUUCUGUUGCAUGCUGGAUUAUUUUCACUAUGUAUCAUGUUAGGACAUUAAUAGAAGCACUUUGUGUGAUGAAUGAUACCUCUAUUCACUUUUCGUCUCAAGUCUUUGUUGUCAUAACUAAAAUAGCAUGCACCUCUGUCUCAAUACAAUUAAAUUAGAUGCCUUUAUUGCCUCUGCUAUUUUGCUUGUGUAGCGAGCUACAAUAUGGGUUCCACAUUUUUCUUUCCCAGUUUUUCUCAUUAUUUUAGUGCGUAUGUGACACUAUGAUAUAUGGUUGUUUACAUAUCAAAUCAAGGCUUUUUUCUACAUGGUCUUAGAGAGUUGAUGGAAAAUGGAGCAUGGUCUAAGAAUAUGGCAAAUAUAUGGCCUACACGUAAAACUGGGUUUGUUGAUUAGCUUGUGAUGUGCUGGUACAGUCUCUGUACACAGCUAGGGAAAAAUGCAUUUUAACUUUGAUGAUAUUGUUGAUAAUGCAGAAUUUAUAUCAUUUUCUAAUGGCCUGAAAAUUGUAUUAGUCUUUAUACACUAUUACUUGUAUGUAAUUGUCCAAUUGUGGGACUAUUCUUAUUACUCUGACACAUUUUCAAUUUAGUUCUUUUUUCAUUUUAAUGUUAAAUUUUGUUGCUAUAUCCUGUCACUGCAAUUAUCACAUUUACAUUGUUAAAAUAUUUGUGCUGGUUGCAGGUAGUUAUUGUGCAGAUGAAUGGCUUAGAUCAUUCAUCACAGUCGAUACAUGUGCUUCAUAUUGGAAAGAUGAGAAUGAAACUUCAUAAGGGCAAGACUACAAUGACAAAAGAAUACUAUUCCACUUCAAUGCAGGUAUAUCCAUUCUAUUUAUCCAUUAUUUUAAUGAAGAUACCAUUCGUAUUACCGUGGUUUUGAAAGUUGUAUCAUGAAGACAUUUUUUCACAAAAAAAAAAAGCAUUGCAAAAUCUGAGUAUCUCUUGGUCCAAUCCUUUUUUUGGGUCCUUUUGGGAAGGAAUUAUUAGAUAGUGGCUAUGAAACUUGGACUAGGAAGGACCUGAAAAAGGAUUAUGUUAAGACCUCAAAAUAACAGAUGAUAAUGAUGCAGCAGUCUAAUGAAGCGAACAAUCCUGCAAGUGUACAAGCACUGGAUGAAACAAUGGACAAGAGGCCAGAAAUUAUGUAGUAAUAGUAGAACACCACUUGAAACAAACUCCUCAGAUUCCAAUCGCCUUAAACUGCUACCCUUAUCAAAGGUAAGUGAAAAUUUGCAAAAUAGUCUUGAAGUAAGUUAAAACUAUACACAAGGCUAAGCCCAGUGCUUAGCAAGGAGGAUCAAUCCUAAAAUUAGAGAUGUCCAAAAGCAAGUCUCAGCAACAAUAUGAAAAUCAGAAUCAGUUCAAAUUUGGACUAUAUUCCAACCUUGUUAGAAUUUAGACCGUGCUCUUUUGUUUCUGCACGACUUAGGGCAGUGAAGAUUGAUGACCAAGAUAUAUAAGAGUGCACGCCCUUUAAUCUUGGCUCCAUUGCUCACAGACGUAAACAAGAGGAGAAAGCUGGGUUGUAGGCCAUAUGACAGCUUUUAGGCUGGUAAUGUGCUAGGGGAAUAUGCUAGGAGAUCGUGGAAGGAGUAGAUGUGCUAAAACACAAUGUGCAUGAAGAGUUGAUUGAAGAAAUUGGGCCCAUUGAGAUGUAUCUUAAAACUAAGAUCAUUUGUCAAUUGUCGUAGAAGGCAAAAGACAGUGUAUUACACCCACUAAAUUUCUGGCCAUACAAAUUCUCUGUGGCUAUCAAGGAUUGGGACUUGGCCUUGGUGGAUUUGUUUUGCCACUGACUUUAAAUAUCAGAUGCUGUUGUUGGAGACGGCUUUAUAUUGGUCUUUGUUACCAGGCUGUCAGCCUCUGUAUGUCUUCUCAGUUCUUGCAUCAAGAUGAAUGUGGUAGAUUAAAUUGGAUAAUAAAUAAUCCCUCUUUAGAGGGUAUCAUAAACAUCUUUUGGCAUUUUAGCACAGACAAUAUAUCAGCAUAAAAAUAUCCUAUGAAAGGUUCAGUGUUUGAAUAGCGGGUUCCAUAAUGUACAGAUGCAAAGUUGUAAUUACAGCAUGAGAUUCUGUUUUAUCCAUUUAAAAUUGCACAGUCUGGUGCUUAAUCCACACCAUAUACAUGGCAUUUUUGCGGCAUAGGUGUUCCACCUUUCCAAAACUAUUUGUUGCGACAUUUCUUUCAUUUUUGUUUGGAGUUUCAAUCCAUUUUUUUUUCCCCCAGAUGUGAUCUGUGCUCUAUUUUACUGUGCUAAUGAUUGUUUGUUUAAUCAUUAUCAUUGCAUUUUCAGCUUUGUGGCGUUAGAGGUGGCGGAAACGCCGCAGCCCAAGCUGCUUUUUGGCAAGCAAAAGUAGGGCUUUCCUUCGUAUUAGCGUUUGAAUCGGAAAGAGAGAGAAAUGCAGCCAUCAUGCUUGCCAGGCGUUUUGCCUUCGAUUGCAAUGUAAGUACCAAAAACCUGUAUGAUCAAUUCUUGUUACUAACAUUCUUCCAAAGAUGGCUUCCAUUACAAGAAUAAUAAAACCUGAAUAUAUCUCAUUUUCAGAUCAUGCUUGCCGGGCCAGAUGAUAGAGCUGCUCCAGCAACUUGAAAAUGGUACCUGGUUCUAUAGCAGAUGUAAUUAUACUGAUUUCCAUUGUCUUUUGUAUAAUACGAGUUUGCAGUAGGAAAUAGAUUUAACCUUUGAUUGUAAUGUGGGUUUUCGCCACCUCUUUCAUUUUUUUCUUUCAAUUUUUUCCCUUGUAUUUUUUCUUUUUUUGGGUUUCCCCCUACUUCCUAGGCGAGGCAGGCUUUUUCUUAUUAGCCUCAAGCUGGUCGAAAAGAGCAAAGUAUAUUUGUGCACUACUUUCAUUUCGAUUGAAUGAUGAUUGACAUUGGAAGGACAAGAAAAGUAUGCUGAUGAUUGCUGUCUUCUUACCAUUUUUUCCCCUGAAAAGAGGACUAGUGAUUCCUCACUUAUCUAUUGUCUUCUUGCCCCUCUCUUUCUGAACUGUCAAGCAAACAUAAAAUUUGUGAAAUAACUCUUCUGUUGAAAUAGUAUGCCUUAGGACCACAAUAAAUAAAUAAAUAAUUAUGGUUUGUAAUUGGACGAAUUUAAUUUUUAUUGAAUAUGUCUGAUGGUAGGGAUAUAUCAUUUAGUUUCAUGUUUAUUUUAUUUUGGUUGAAUGAAAUGGUAGUCCAAAAUAACAGCUGAUGAAAUGGUAAAAGACGUGAGUAGAAUAAUGGUUUCACAACAAUUCAAUGCUUGAUGAUUUUUGUUUCUUGUCUUAGAAUUUAUGUUUGAUUUUCACUAUAUCUCCUUUUCCAACUUCCUUUCUUAGUCUUCCCAUUUGUUGAAGAAAAGGGCAUAAAUGGUCACUAAACCAUUUAAAAUUCUCUAAAUCAAUCACUAAACCUUUUUAUUAGCCGUAAUGGUCACUAAACCAUUUAUUAAUAAGUCAAAUAAUGAAAACACGUUUUGUUAUCACUCACGUAACCCAAAAAAGAAAGACAUUUUUUGGUCCAAAAAUGUACAGCAGAAUUAGUUGAAUACUAUUUUGGUAGAAGAAAAAAAAAUUUAGGUGCAUAUGUCAAAUGUCAAGUACUUUGACAUAAAAAAAAUAUAUUUUUGUUAAGUGAGGUCCGAAAGACAAAUAUAAAUAGUAGUAUUAGGAUAUCCUUCAAAUUGUGCCCUCCAACAAUUUGACAAAAAUUAGUCAAAAUUUGAAUGCUAAUUGAAUCAAUUUUGUUUUAGCAAAGCUCUAUCGUUUACCAGAUCUCAUUGUGUUCUAAAGUCUUAUUUGUAGUAGCAAUGUUCUAAUUGAAUACUAAGUCUGGUAGGCAUUAUCAUUUUCCCCCCCAAGUCUAAUGUCUCCAUGUAUGUAUAAUCAGAAUGAUGAACUAAAAAGAAAUUUUGCAAUACAAGCGCAGACACUUGCAAUAUAUUAUAUAUAUAUACACACCAUUCCACCUCUCCUCACACUCUUUCCGCUUCCAAACUGCAAGGCACGGAUUUCGAAUCCUGAACCUUGCAAUUGUAAUAUCUCGUAAUAUUCAGAAUUUCUAAUACCUGUAUUGCCUCUUCCCCGAGCUUUUAUAGCUAAACAUUGUUGAGGUUUUUAUCUUUCACUUUGAUGUUGAUUUCAAAACUCAAAUUUCAAUGUCACAACAAUUUUUCAUUAAAUUGUUAAACAACCCUGUUUAAUUUUUUUUUUCCAAAAAAAUGGACAUUUAUCAGGCAAAAAAUUAGGGCUCCUUUCAGCAUACCCUAAUGGCAAUAUACCAAGUUUGACACGAUUUCUUGCCAAACGCAACAAUUGGAAAGCAAAGUAUAUGACAAAGGAUUGGAGCACCAAUUUUAGGUGUUAAGGUUUGCCUAAAACAGCAUUAUGGGUGGCUUUCCUAUUUUGCCCCUUUGUUGACCAGCAAUUGAUGGAGAAAGUUUACAAAUUUGGUGGUUCAAUCAAAUAAGGAUCAAAAUAGCCACAUAAAUAUUGUUCACAGACUAAAUUAGCUAAGAACAAAGUUUAAGAAUUUUUUUGCUUUAGUGAGAUAGUUGAAGGACUAUAUUGGUCCUUUGCUCUCAAGAUUAUUUUGGAACUUUAAAGAAGUGAAUCAUUUUAGUAAAGAUUGCUUGGACAUUAAAUCCUUAACCUGAGUUAUUACUUGCCGUAUUAAAUCCCAAACUUGAGUUAUUACUUACAGCCAAACUAUCCAUUAAGAAAAGGGCUAAUUGCAAUUUGCACCCUCAAUCUAUUACUGAUUUGCAAUUUGCACCGUGAACUAUCAAUUUUAGCAAUUAAGUAACUUAUUUACUUAAAUUGAUCGAAAAUCAAUUGCUUUUUAUUGGUACUUUUGAUUGAAAAGACUUUACUACCCCUAAAUGAAUAAGAGAAUUAUGAAAUCAUGGGUAAUUUUUUUGUUAUUUUUCUCCUAAAGCAAAUUAGGAGUACUAAAGAUCUUUGAUUUACAAAAUAGUGAGAAAGAUUCAUUGGUUUUCAAAUGAUUUGAACAACGUGUUAGAAUUUGAUAGUAUAAGGUGCUAAAGUGCUAGGAUUGAUAGUUUUGGAUGCAAACUGCUAAUCAGUGAUAAUUUCAUGCAAGCAAAUCACAACUCGGAGAGAAAAUUCUAAGAUUGUGAUGGAAUUAAAAAAAAAAAAAUUCUACAAUGGGGCUGACUUUAGUGCCGAAUGUGAACUUGGUCAAGCUUGCAUUCAGCAAUUGCUAGGUUCCCCAUUUAUAUUUAUUAAUAAAAGUCUUUCGUGCCUGAGAAUUUUUUAGAAUUAAUAAAAAGAUAUGGAGUUCACAUUCAUCUAACAGGUUAAAAUCAUCUAUCUAACAGAAUAUAUAUAUAUAUAUAUAUAUUCCAAAAUAAACCCUAAGGUUGCUAGAGGAUAAUUUGUUCAAGUGUUGAACUUGGGUUUCUCAAAAUAUGUAUUUGGAAGUGGUGACAAUCUUUUACUUUGUUUAUGGUUAUGGACUGUCAAAAAAAUACAGAUUACUACUAAGUAAUUUCUCUAAUAUUAAAUUAGAUAGUUAUUUUCUUUCAAUACCCUAUAGGCUCCAGACGGGAUCCUUUGUCUAUUAUAUCUGUUCAUUUUUCCUGUUCAAUGCAAAACUACGUAGUUCCACUUACUAAUAUUGCUGAUGUGACACAUAACAUUGAAUGUAUAUUUAGGGGGUGUUUGGUAAAUAGGUGAGAUCCUCUGUCCAUUAUAUAUAUUUAUUUUUCCUGUCCAAUACAAAACUACGUAGUUCCAUUUAUAAAUUGGGAAAAGAGUCUCAAUGGCCCUCUAACUCUUACUCAGGUAAAGUUUUGGCCCUCCAACAAUUAAAAAAACGGUUUUGGCCCUCGAUCUAACAAAAUGGCAUAUUCGUGGCCCUUCUGUCAAAUCCAGCAGUUAACUAUGACGGGAAGCUUCAUCUCGUGAGAUGUGCGCACAAAUAUGAAUGGCACUAUAGUCUCUUAAGGAUGGUUGACCAAACAAAGAGAGAGUAAAAAGGUAGCUUCUUCUCUUACCUUAAGUUAGAGCAACAAAGUCUGCAGCAAUUCAAAGUUGGAGCUGAAAAUGCGAAGAAUGAGCAGUUCCCCUCUACCGGUGUGCAGAUGUGAGAAAGAGACUAGAGUGAUUACUUCAUGGACUUCAAAAAAUCCUGGACGAAGGUUUGCUGUGUGCGCUGAAGGUUGCUGCGGAUAUUGGGCAUGGAUCGAUGAGGAGAUGUGCCGACGGGCUACAGAAAUUAUACCUGGCCUUCUUCGAAAGAUUAAUGCAACUGAAAAGGACAGAGAUGAAUAUGAAGAAAUAGCAAGAAGAAAUGAAAGAAAGGUAACAAAAUUGAAGGAAAAAGUUAAAGAAUUGGAGAAAGACAUUCGCAGCAAAAAAUGGGUUAAUAAGUUGCUAGGGAAAUUGCUCUUUUUAACAUGGAUAUUGAUUUUUUUAAUUUUGAUGAGUUGGGGCCAAAAAAAGGGAAAUCUUGUCAGUUUUCGACAAAUACAAGGUGCUUGCAAACACCUGGCCCUUACCAAGUUGAAGUUUGCAGGGGAAGAAGAUGAUCCAAAUUGUUCAUUUUAAUGUAAAUUUUUGAUUUGUAGUUGUACGAUGUUUCCGCAAACCUUGUAAUCAAAUCUGUGUUUGUGCUGGUUCUAAUGAAAUAUCUGCUCAUCUCUUUUUAUUAAAUAAAAGUGCUGAAGUUCAUUUGUUCGACUCAAUGAAUUGGUUUGGUAUUGUGCUUAGAAAGAAGGUAUAAUAAUGGUGUAAGAAGGAGUACAUAAAGCCAUAAUGUAUACAUCAUAUUAAUCACUUGUCAAUGAGUAUCAAAAGGAACUGCUAUAAUACAAAGCAGAAUCAGCAUGUUACCAACAAGCAACUGCUAGACAAAAAAAACAGAGAAGAACUGCUAGACACAAAAUGAAUUGUCAUCAUCAGUUUACACAGGAUAAGACAAAAAGAGUUUGUCAAACAGAAAUAAGUCUAUCAUGGCUGAGUUCCUCUUCCAGUGGCUUUUCCUCUCAUUUCUCUUUCACCUUGUCUUCCUCUUCCUCUUCCUUUUGCUCUGCCUCUGCCUCUUCCACUCCAUCUCCCCCUCCAGUUUCCAACUGCGAAUGGGGGUUCUUUACCCAAAUAAGCAUAGUUCGCAUUGAUAGCUCCUUUUUCGGCAUCAGUAAGUAGUUUUGUAGCUGAGUUUUUUCUUCGCUGCGAAUGAUGAUGUUGUUGGCUCUGUUGUGGAUGUUGCUGUCCAGUUUCAUCGUUAGCCUGUUGCAUUUGUUGUUGCACAUUUUGAGAAGACUGACCUGGUUCCUUAUUCUUAUCAAAAUUGUACAUGACACAAAUAAGUACAUGACGGAUGUAAAAUAGUGAAAAAUUAAUAGCAAUUGCAUGCACUUACUGUCCUCUCUUUUUCUACUGAUUGCUGCCUCUGCUGAUUACUCGGUUGAGCUUCGGAUGACUGGUUAGAACAUUGUUGUGCUUCUUCAUUGGAAGGCUUCUUGCACGUAGCUGCAUUAUGACCAACCUCACCGCAUUUUCUACAAUGAAUGACAACUCUCCUCCUCAACCUUCUGCCAUGAUCUCUCCCCUCAGUCACAUCCCUUCUCCUAGCCUUUUUAGGCCUACCAGGUUGAGUAACUGGUAUUGGUGGAUCCAACACAGGCAUGGUGGAUGAGGGCCAAUGAUCCUCGCCACUAAUUGGCUGCAAAACAUUCUCAUAAAUCUGGAAGAAGAGGCCUCUGCUAUAAGAACGAUCCAGAUAAGAGUAAAGAUCCUCUUCUCGCAUGAAGAUAGCAGCAAUUGCAUGACAGCAGGGAAUUCCACUAACCUCCCAUAAUCUGCAAGUACAAUAUUUUUUUUGCAUAUCUACUGCAAAUUGGGCCCCUCUUGGACCUUUGACUUGAUAGCCAUGCAGUGCAUUCCAAAUGGGCAUCCACUGACUUGAAUGCUUGACUCUAGUCUGAACAAUCUCAUUAAUUAAAGGUCCAGUGGAGCCCUUACAUUUCUCCAUUGCAGCGCGUCUUCUUUGGAUCCUCUCCAUAAGAUAUUCCCUUAUAAUUUCCAACAUUGUGAUGAUAGGUUGGUCCCUUGCAUCUUUAAUGUGGGCAUUGAAGGACUCGCAUAGGUUAUUCACUAUCAUAUCACUCUUGACGUGAGUUGGAAAAUAUGCUUUGCACCAAUGUCGAGGAUGAGGAGCUUUCUUGACCCAUUCGUAUGCAUCCUUAUCAAAAGUUUGAAGUUCUUCCAUAGCUUUGUCGUACAUUUCCACUGUUGUGCAACAUGCUAUGUUUCAUAUCCUGUCUUUAAGAGCCAAACCAGGAUGCUUUUUCUUGAAAUUGCGAUACAUAUGUUGGACACAGUACCUGUUUUUACAAAGUUAUUUAAGUCAUUGUUAAACAAUUGCAAAACUUCAGUGGAAAAAAAAACUUGAUAAAAAUUUCUUAGUUUUAAAGGAAAUCAUGAUACCUGUGCUCACAUCCAGGCAGAACAUCACUAAGUGCCCUGUCUAGCCCCUAAAAUGAAAUCAUGAUAUAGACUGUUAGUUUCUACCAUCAUUUGAAUCAAAUGUUGAAUUUCAAAGCUUUCUCGCAUACCUUUUGCUGAUAUGAUAUAAAGGUAUAGUGGCACUGAUUUUCGAUUUCCAAGUCCUCACUUAAAUAUUUGAGAAACCAAGUCCACUGCUCAGUUGCUUCUCUCUCCACAACAGCCCAGGCAAUAGGCCACCAUCCAUUAUUCGGGUCUGCAGCAAUGGCAGUUAGUAACUGUCCUCUAUAAACCCCCUUUAGAUGGCAACCAUCUAGGCCUAUUAUUGGCCUACAGCCAUUCUUGAAUCCCUUCUUCAAUGGGUCUAAACAGCAGUAUAACCUCAUGAAUUUAGGAUUAUCCCCUGAUCCUCUAAAUGGAGUAAACAUUAUCUCCAUUGUACUCCCUUCAUGUGUUUUCUUUAUCUCAGCACAAUACUCCCAAAGUUUCUUAUAUUGUGCUUCGGCCGACCCCUGUAUCAUUUUCAGAGCCAAUUUUCUCGCAUUAGAAGCCACCCAUUUAGAAAUUUGGGUUUGGUACUCCUCAUGCACUGUUUGCCUAAUCUCCCGAGUUGGCAUGCGAGUAUUGGAUCUAAUUCUCUCCAUAUAUCUAUUUGACAACCAAUUGGCCUUCAAAUUUUUGAUUUUCCAGGCAUGAUUACAGUUUUCAUGCUUGUCAUACAUUGUCUUCACCACCAAAUCUGUUGUGCCAAGUGCCUUUUCAACUGAUGCAAACACAUACCAUGGACAUGGAUCUUUACACCUGGCUCUCACCCUCUUUGGUUCAUUCUUCUUUGUGUACACUGGUUUUCCCAUCUUAAUUUCAUAUUCUUGGAUAGCAGCUUUGAAUUGGGCUCUUGAUUCGAAUUUCAAACCCAACUCGAACAUUGUAUCAAUCCUAAAUUUUUCCCAAGAAAAAUCUUUAUACCUGCCAGCAUACUGCUCAGGUUCUUCAUCUUCCUCUGAUGAACCAACAUCACUUCUUAGAUGAUCUGGGAUUGUAUCUUCUGCCAAUGCAUCUGCUUCAGGUGUAGAAUCUCUGGUCUGCUGCUGCUGUUUUGUUUUUCUUCUUCGCCUUACUUGUUUUUUUUUCUGUUGUGCUUGCUGUUGUUCUGAGGACUGUUGUGUUUCAAGUUGUUGAGUAGUAGCCUGUUCAGUAGUAGCCUGCUCAGUUGCAGCCUGCUCAGUUGCUUCUUUUUCAUGCUGUGAAGGUCCUCCACUUUGCACCUCUUCUAAUGUGCUUCUACACUGAGUUGGCUGCAAUGUCAAAUCACCAAGAAGAUCCUCAUCUCUACAGUAUUCUACAUCACCACUGAAUCUGUCACAUUCAUUUUCUGAUCCAGAAUCUUCAUCAUCUCCUCCAUUUCCUUUAUCUUCAUUAGCCUGUUCACACCUCAAUCCUUCUUGUGCCGCAUCUCCUCCCUGCUGUGAAGGUCCUCCAAUUGAAGAACCUACAUGCUGCUGCUCAGGUUGCUGCUCACUUAAGGACCCUUCAUGUUGCUCAGUUUGCUGCUCAAGUUGCUGCUCAAGUUGCUGCUCAGGUUGCUGCUCACUUAAGGACCCUUCCUGUUGCUCAGUUUGUUGCUCAAGUUGCUGCUCAGGUUGCUGCUCAAGUUGCUGCUCACUUAAGGACCCUUCAUGUUGCUCAGUUUGCUGCUCAAGUUGCUGCUCCUGUUGCUGCUCACUUGAGGACCCUUCAUGUUCCUGUUGUGCAUCACCACUUUGCUCACCAAUGUGCUGGCUCUUUGCUGUUCUUCUACUUCGACUCUGUCCUCCAGUUGACCCUCUAAUGAACAGCCUCCUCUUACGAACUAGGUGAAAAAAAGAUUCUUCUACUACACUACCCUCCUCAUCCAACUCUUCUAUCAAAACACCACUUUUCUUCUUCUCUGCUGGUUGGAUCACUAUGGGAGACUUGCAACUAUUAAUUUCUUCAGCUGUUAGAUGGUUGCAAUAGACUUCCAUUACCUUGUACUUAUAAGUCCAACCACAAAACUUGAUAACGUCAUCAUCGGUACAUAACUCUCUUAAACCAUUUCUUAGAUCCUUAUUUGGUUCAAGGUAGUAGUACAUUAUGGCAGCGUUACGAUGUCCCAUUUUCCCCACCAUUUUAUUUAGUUCAAUGGUUGACAUUCUUUCGGCAUUACAAACAUCUACAUAGUCCACCUCUCCAUUAGCAUACGAGACAUACUGUUCCCACAUAAUUCUACCCCCAUGAUGCAUCCGAAUAGUAAAUCAUUCAGAAUCAGUCUCUACAAUAGCAAUUAGGAUAAAACAGUCAACAAAAAACAAACAGAGGCUGACAAAUAAAAUACUGAAUUGGUCAGUAUUCGGCAAAAAAAAAAAGAUCCUAAACAAAUAAAGUGUCCCUUUUCAGCCAUUAAAAUACAUCACUUUCAAAGUAACCUCCUUUGUCCGACAUUAUCAAUUUACAACAAACAAAGUAGGACCACAAACUGGACCACAAACUGGACCACUUAGCCUCCCAACAUCACCAUUACCCAAACAUAUACACAAAUAAGUCCCAUUACACAUGCAUAUACUAAACAAAUAAGUUCCAGUACACAUUGCCCAAACAUAUAAACAAAUCUUAAACCCAAAAGGGUUAGUAAACAACAAUUUCAAUUACCGUAAACAAGGUACGGAUCAAAGUAGUCAUCCUUCCUCCUUAUUCGCCACUUCAUUUCUGCCUUUACAAUCCCUCCCACGCCGGCAAUUACCACUUUCGCUGCAGCGUCCGAAUUGAACACUCUGAUUUAAGUCGCACUAGGGUUUUACAGCAAAGGGGGUGAAAUUGUUGGAGGAAAAAUGGUUGGUGAAACUGUUUUUACUCUGUCUUGGCCAAGAGACUAUAGUGCCCUUCAUAUUUGUGCGCGCAUCUCACGAGAUGAAGCUUCCCGUCAUAGUUAACUGCUGGAUUUGACAGAAGUGCCACGAAUAUGCCAUUUUGUUAGAUCGAGGGCCAAAACCGUUUAUUUAAUUGUUGGAGGGCCAAAACUUUACCUGAGUAAGAGUUAGAGGACCAUUGAGACUCUUUUCCCUUAUAAAUACUGUUGAUGUGGCACAUAACAUUGAAUGCAUAUUUAUGUGGUGUUUGGUAAAUAGGUUUCAAACUCAAUUCUGGCAUGUAUGGCCUACUUUCUGAAUCAACAUGAUUGCACGUAACUGCAACUCUGACAAAUUCAAGCAUCUCGUUCUCAAAUGCUUGCCUAAUCUCAUCUGAAUCAUGCGGCGUGAAAUUCCAAAGUAAAAGACUAUGGGUAAAAUUAGGUAUAAACAAACAUUAUUUAUGGAUAUUAUUAAAUUUGAAACCUAUUUACCAAACCGCUAUGGCUUCUAUGAACAAGAAAAGAACCCAGAUGGAUAGUGCUUGAUUUAUUAUGCAUUUCACUUAAUAUUAUGCAAUAACUUCUUGACAAUAUUGAUGUUGUUAUAAAACUAAUAAAAUAAGCUACUAUAAUAUCAAGUGAAAUAUUGAAGAAAGAAGUAGAGAAAGGGAGAAUGAUAUCCUUAUAUUUCAACAAGAUACAAAAGUCCUUCCAAAGGGUAUCAAUAUACCUCUAUAUAUAGGUACUACAAGAUUAAAAGUACAUAAAUCCUAUUAAACAUCCACUACUACAAUAAUAUGAAGAAACCUAUGAAACGGUUUCUCCACUACAUGUAUAGAUUAAUGGAUUGUAACUUCUAUACAUAAUGUAGCCAUAAAAUCAUGAAUUAAUUCUCUUGGGAAUACAAAGGGACAUCCAUACUUUUAAUUGUUUCAUAACACUCCCCCUUGGAUGUCCAUUACAUAAAGAAUAUGCCUCGUUAAAACCUUAUUAGGGAAAAACCCAUCGGGACAAAAACCCUAGUGAAGGAAAAAGAGUACACUAUUCUUGUGUAUUAAUUUCUCCCCCUGAUGCAAACAUCAUUUGAGAUCUUUUAAUCGUCGCAUUCCAAUAUUCUUCAAUUACACUGAGAUAUGGUACUUCAGGACCAAGUAUCUCUCCAUCUUCCUCUCGUGGUCUAAAAGGAUCCUUAUUAGAAUUUAAUGAUCUGACGACCAUUGAGGUACUUAAUGUAUGUGUCUUAUCUAUAUAAAAUCGCUUUAAUACCUUCCGGGUAUAAGCAGUUUGGUGGACAAAAAUUUCACUUUUCAAAUGCUCAAUUUGUAAAUCAAGGUAGAAUUUUGUUUUUCCAAAAUUCUUGAUCUCAAAAUCCUUCUUCAAAUAUUCAACAUUAUUUUGAAUCUCUUCAGGAGUUCCAAUCAAAUUUAAAUCAUCAACAUAUACAGCAAUUAUCACAAAAUUUGAUCCAUUUUUCUUGAUAAAAACACAUGGACAUAUUGGAUCAUUGGUAUAACCUUCUUUAGUUAGACAUUCAUUGAGGCGGUUAUACCUCAUACGUUCAGAUUGUUUGAGGCCAUACAAAGACCUUUGUAAUUUAAUAGAAUAAAUAUCUUUAGGAUUUGAUUUGCAUGCUUCAGGCAUGUUGAAUCUUUCGGGGAUUCUCAUAUAAAUAUCAUUUUCAAGAUUUCCAUAUAAAUAUGCAGUAACGACGUCCAUUAGACGCAUAUCUAAUUUUUCAUGUACUGCAAAACACAUAAGAUAUUUAAAUGUGAUAGCAUCCACUACAGGUGGAUACGUUUUAUCAUAAUCAAAUCCAGACCUUUGUGAAAAUUCUUGGGCUACAAGUCUUGCUUUAUACCUCACAAUUUCUUUUUUCUCAUUUCUCUUUAUCACAAAUACCCAUUUAUAUUCUACUAGCUUUACACCUUCAGGUGUUUGGACUACAGGUCCAAAAACUUUUCUUUUAACCAGUGAGUCUAAUUCAGAUUGGAUCACAUCUUUCCAUUUUGGCCAAUCAUUUCUAUACCGACAUUCAUCAAUCGAUUUAGAUUCAUAAUUCUCAUCAACUUCUAUAAUAUCAAGUGCUACAUUUUAUUAGGCUCUAAUUAAAUUUUCUUUGAUUUCAUUCUCUUCAGGAGUUGGCUCUUCAGGAGGGAACCUCUUCAAGAGAUUGAAUUUUGUCAUAACAUUCAUUCAAGAGAUUGAAUUUUGUCAUGACAUUCAUUUAAUCUCCGGAGCUAUUUGAAAUCAAUUUACACCUUAUUUAGAUAAGCCGGCCUUAAAUUUAUUUGUAGCACAUGUGUAUGUCCUUCGGGGACAUCAAUUUUAACCAGAGUAUUUUCUGCAAGAAUAGUUGAUUUAAUGACUCUUCUGGAGUCGAUAAAUAUAACUGAUAAUUGGUUUGCAACUUUCUGCAAAUGAAUAAUCUCUUGAACUUCCAGUUCACGUUAUUUUGUAUGAGGAUCGAAGAAAUCUAAUUUUUUUAGAUGAUUUCCUUUCGGUUGAUUUCUUCCUCCCCCUAAUGUCGGGAAUCGUAACUCAUCAGAAUAAAUAAAUCAUUCAAUAGAUCACCCAUCAAUAUUUUACGAUAUUUAAUUGUGAAAGGUGAUUCAUACCCAACAUAAAUUUUAAAUUUCUUUUGGAGCAAUAUAUAAUAUAAAGGGGGUAUGUAUAAAUACUUGUCGACUCUCAAAUAUUCUCACUUUUGUCAAAUCAUAUAUCCAUUGGGAUCAGUAAACUUCUAGUUUACUGCAGGUGAUAAUUAUAAAUCAAAUGAGAAUGAAGACAACUAUAGCGAUAUCCAUUUCUCUCUCGAAUGGUUAUUAUGAUAUAAUUAACCUUUAUCUCAUUUGAUUUCUAAACACGAUCUCUAUUAUUGUCUCAUUUAGUGUCUCAAUUUGAUAUCCAUUUUGACGGAUAUUCAAAUUCAAUAAUUCUUUCGAGACAUGGUAAAAAGUAGUGCUUUAUUUAUGAUAAACUUUCUCCUAUAGGGAGAAAUAUAGCAGUGGCUCUUCCGGAACUUUCAAUCACUUAAGCACUACCACUGAUUGUGUUUGUCUCUUUUGUUGAAAAACAGUGUAUAUAGUAGCAUUUAUUAGCGAGACACAUAUCAUUGCCACCAUAAUUCUUAUGGGACAAAUAUCAUCACCAUAAUUUUUUUUGAUCCCAAAUGUUUAACAUCCAUUUCUUCUUCAGGAAGAAAAGUUAAUUACUAUCAUAAAUUAAAUCAAGCAUCAUACAUUUUCAGGGUAUUUAAAGAAAUUUUUCAUGUGAAAAUGCUUUUAUAAUUUUGAUUCGUCAAAUGUACUUGGGGACAUUUAUCUUCAGGAUCCUUACUUUCUUGUUCUCAUCAUUAUUAUCCCACUUCAAGUGAUAAUUUUUUCUCUUGUCAUGGUAAAAUAUAUAUUUACCAAAAUCAUAGUCAUGGCAGCAACCAUAACUAAUAAAUUGAAAUUUAGUCGCAUUCACUUCUGGGAAUGGAUUAGAACUAGUAUGCAAUAAGCACAAAAUACUUCUCAAAAUUUCUCUUAAUAUUGCUACUACAAGAGCAUAUUUGAGAAAUAUGUAGAGAAUAUUAUUUUCAACUAAGAAAUAAUUCUAAACAUAGCAGAAUUAUGUACUUGCAACUAUAAGUAAAUUUAUCAUACCAAGCUUUGAAAUAAUGACCAUCUUCUGGUGGUCAAAUCUUUUCGUUAAAGAACGACCAUCUUCAAGUGGUCGAAUCUUUUUCUUUAAAUAUUUCAAAGGACAAGUAGAUCCUCAAAUAUAAUUGAUUUUCUAUAAUAGCAUCUCCAAAACUCAAUGCAUCAGAAUAUAAGUAUUUAUAACAAAUAUUUCUAAAGAUAAAUAAAUAGAAUUAAAAAAUGAAAUAUUACCUCAAAGAUGUCAAAGAGUAUAUGUUCUUAUUUAGUAGUUGCUCAGUAGUAGACACUUAUAUUUUGCAAUCAUUCAAAGGUUAACCAUAAUAAAUUGAAAUAAAAUUAUAGGUUAGAAAUUUACCUCAAUAAAUAGACAGAUGUUGGCGAAAAAAAACAUGGACAAAAUCUCGUGUUUCACUUUUACUCAAGGUAAAGCCUCCGUUUUCACCUUUUGCUCAAAAGUAGAGACUCGUGCUGAUAACGUGUUGUAAAACUAAUAAAAUAAGCUACUAUAAUAUCAAGUGAAAUAUUGGAGAAAGAAGUAGAGAAAGGGAGAAUGAUAUCCUUAUAUUUCAACAAGAUACAAAAGUCCUUCCAAAGGGUAUCAAUGUACCUCUAUAUAUAGGUACUACAAGAUUAAAGGUACAUAAAUCCUAUUAAACAUCCACUACUACAAUAAUAUGAAGAAACCUAUGAAACGGUUUCUCCACUACAUGUAUAGAUUAAUGGAUUGUAACUUCUAUACAUAAUGUAGCCAUAAAAUCAUAAAUUAAUCUUCUUGGGAAUACAAAGGGACAUCCAUACUUUUAAUUGUUUCAUAACAGAUGUCUACUUCUUUAGUUUAUUACAUUUAUUCUUCUUUCUUUCUUUUUUUUAUUUUUUUUAUUUUGGUGUUUGUAAUAGACAUAAGGUUGUUGGGAAAGAAGAUGAAUUUGAGGAUGCAACAGUGGCUAGAAAGCUAUUGGGAAAUUGUUGGUAAGAUCCUGGAAACUGGGGUUGGGUAACUUCAUGUAAUUGAAUUGCUUUUGGGCUGCUCUUUUGCCCUACAAACUUCGGUUUUUUCCUUCCGUUACACGGUGUUACGUCAAAUGUGUGACUGACUGAAAAUGCCACCCUUGCGAAUUUGUUCAAUGGUCAGCAGAGUUUCUUGGACUGAUACAAAAGUCUUGUUGGUUCUUCAUUUUCUUUUCUGGUUCUGAAAAUCUUGUUGGUAUAAAUAAAAAGGUCUAUAACCUGUUUUGCUUCAAUUAUAAAUUUAUUACAUUUCAUAAAACUCUCUAAAGUAGUUCAGUUCAUCAUUCUUGCUGCUUGGAUUGCUAUUUUUAGGAAUUUUUAUAGAAAAAUAUUUUGUAGCAAUCUGAUAUAUGUGAAGUAAAAAGAUAAUUAAAAGAUAUGUUCACAAAAAAUGUAAAAUUUUUUUUCGCAGACAACCAUUUUGCAACUAGGGAUUAAUAGAAGAAACAUGACUUUAGAUUGUCCCCUCCGUGUCUCCCUUCAUUGGGGCGGCCAAAUAUGUAGCUUGAGGGCAGGCCAGUAUGUUAUUUUCCUCCAAUUUCUAAUCAUACAUUCAGAUUUCAGCAUAAAAUUGGAUGUGAUGAGUUAGUCAACAAACUACAUCAAUGCCUGGAGGUUGUCAAAAGACAAUUCAAACUAAAAUUUACUCUUCGAACCCCAUGCAGUGGUCCCAUGCAGUGGUCCAAUGAUGUUUAAGAAACUUGCCAAUUAUGUUGCAGAGUUGUAGAUCAAGAGGGAAGAAAUUUCCCAUGCAUCUCCAAUAAACGUCGGACAAAUUGCUAAUGGUCUAAUGAACGAAGUAACGAUAAAGAUUGUUAUAAUCACUCUCCUCUAAAGAAAGGGAUCAUCUAAAAAGCGAUUUGUUUCGUAUCUGUUCAGACAAAAAUUGACAUAGAUAUUAUGGGAUUUGAUUUUUUCUGUAAGAUAAGUGGAUACAGAAAGUCGUGUUGUCGAGAUCUAUUAAGUUGUAAACACCUUUGAAUUUACUCUAUUUGAUUUAAAUUUGAACCAAAGGUAUAAAUUGCUAAUGGUCUAAUGAUGUCUCUAAUUCCAGCAUGCUCGAAGCCAAUGCAGUGUCAAUCUUACUCAGAGAGCUUGCCUCACUUUUCAUCCCCAUUUCAACAUACUGUUCCAGUAGUUUCACGCAUUAGUACUCCCCAGAACCUAAACCCUAUAACAUCCGUUUUUACACCUGCAGACCAUAAAUAAAUUCAAAUCCAAUUACAGUCAGUUUUGCCCUGACAUGCGCUGUUCUUCAAGAAUUGAUCAUGCAAUUGUUAGUUGACUAAAAUAUAUAUAUAUAUAUAUAUUAAAUCUAUAUUGCAAAGCAAUGUUGUUUUAAAGGUAUUGAGCAAAAGUGGAACUAUUGCUUCAAGAUGAAAUACUACAAAUACUGAAUUAAGGCACUAUUAUUUCACGAAUAAAUAUUCUGAUUCUUAUAAAUAGUAAGUCAAGAUUGACUUCUUGUUUAAUAAAUGAAUGAAUAUCUUGUACACACUAAAUACAUGUUUUUCUUUCUUUAGGGAAGGUGGGAUUUUUUUUAUAUUAUUAUUAUUUAGUGUAAAUGGGAGGUUUCGAACUUAGAACAUCUCACUUACAUUCUCUCUUCCGUACCAUGCAACCCAUCAACCCAUCUCUCCUCCCAGGGAAAGUGGGAUUGUAUGCUUCACAGACGCAAUCAUUCAUAUCUCAAUACAUAUAGAUACGGGAAAAAAAACUUAACAACAUGGUAAAGAAAAAAAAAGGGAUUAAGGAGUCUACUAAACUAAUUUAACCACAUACCUGUAGGGACAAAACUCUCUUUGCUUUAGAUUAACUUGGAAUGAAGUCUUUUAACAAAACCAAAAUGAAAAAUUAGCGUAACUAGACGUGCAUUAUUUAGUAUAUGUGAUGUAUUGAUGGCGCUUCGAUAGAGUUCGCAUUUAUCAAAUGCGAGGUCUAAUUCUAAGAAUUUUUAUUAAAAUUUGAAUCUUGACAAAGUUCGGAUGCACUAAAUGCAAUGUCUGUUACCAUGAAAUUUUUUAGGGUAAACACAGUUUACCCGUUGUGGUUUAGCACUUUUUCACAUGAUUUUCUUGUGAUUUGAAAAAUUAUAUAUAACCCCCUCAUAAUUUGGACAAAAGUGUCAACGUCACGGAAUUUGCAUUCCAUAAGGAGUCAACUAAAAUGUUAAAAGUACCCAUUUGUAAAGUUGAAAAUUAUUAAUUAACCACAAGGGAGCUAUGUAUAUAUUUUGAAAACCAUAAGAGGCUUUUGUUGUAAACACUAAAUCAUGAGAGGGUUAUGUAGUAAAACAUAAAAUAAUAAGAGGUUAAAGUGUCUUGCAUAUUAAGUUUAUAUAUUUUAGUCAUUUCACCCAUUUUAGUUUCUAAACAAGAAUAUUCUCAACAUUUCCUUGGCUUUCUUUAUAGAGGAUCAUUUCCGUCACAUUAAACUUUAAUCCAAAUUAUGAAAAAAUCACUAAAUCAAGGGGGGUACAGUGUAUUUUAUCCAAUCCUUUUUUAAAAUCUGAAUUUUAAUACACUUCGCAUUUAGUAAAUGCGAGUUCUAUUUCUGUGCAGUAUUUUUAAAUUCAAACCUUGACAUAUUUCACGUUUCCAAAAUGCAAAGUCUACUUCCGUGAAGAUUUUUUUUUUAAAAAAAAUUUAUUCAAUGAAUGCAAAGACUUUUGGGCCGAAAUACCACAUCAACAUCAACCCCUUAGUAGAAUAUUUUUGAAUUUCUUCACAAAGUUGGAAAUUUCUCCAACUCUUUAACGCUUUCAACACAAUAGGGAAAUAUACCAACGCCGAAAAUGAAAAGCAUAUACAAGGAAACUUCGUAACAGAAACCGUGAUCCCAUGACUUUUGGUUUCCCAUCAAAUAACGUCACCUUGAAAACAUUCGAAUUCAGGUAUCUUAACAUAUGAUGCCGCGGUUGGUCAAUGAUUGAAUUGGAUGAUUAGCUUCUUUCCUGCAUUAAUCAAUUACCAAGAAGACUUUUGAUUUUUCCACGAAAAGGACAGGUGGUUGAAAGAUGAGCUGCAGAAUUUCGACCUUUUCAACUCCUAUCGUAGUAACUUGUGUUCAUUACGCAUAGAAGAUAGUAAGAAGUACGGUACUUGUGUUAUGAAGUCAAAUUUAUGAUUAAUUAAUGCAAAUAACAGAUUAUAAGUUAUCUCUUUUUUUUUUUCAAGGAAAAUUUUUAUUAAUUGAUAGUUUCAUUUGUUAUGUAUUGAUAAAUACCAUUUGGCACCCGUGUUUUAGGGAUGUUUCAUAAAGGGAAAAUUUUUUUUUUAGUUAAACACACCAUCUUCAAUAACACUUUAAAAUAUGUACAAAUUUUAGAGAAAUACUAAAAAAAAAAUACAUUCGAUAGGGUAUCGGCGAUAGAGGAGGAUGGCGGCGUUGGGUAUCCAUCUUCAAAAAUAUUCUAUUACAUUUCUUAGGAUAACUUUAUGAGGUCAAUUAAUCUUAUAUGUUAUAAAGGAGGUCUUCAGAAGGAUACUAGUUUAAUUUCAUAAAAGAAAUUAUUUAGUCUAUGGGAAUGGUCGAAAUUUGACUUUUUUUUCUGGUAAAUUUUUACGUCUAAGAGUUAUUGUCCUGUAAAACUUUUUGAUGUUUCAGAAGAAUUUUUUUUUUUUGUUCGGAUGAUAGUUGAAUUAGAGAAUGGACAAGUAUUUUUUAGACUCCUUGCUAAGUUUAACCAAUUAUUUUGUGGGUAAAUUACAUACAAUCCCCCUGUGGUUUCAUUAUUGCCACAUAACCCUCCUAAUGUUUCAGAAUAUUUACUUCGCCCCCUAUAAUUUUAUGUAAAGUGAAAAUUUGAUAGAAGAUAGUGUAUGUAACAUCGUUAGUUGAAAUAUCAAUAUUGUCCUUACUUCAAUGUUAAAUCAAUCAAUGACUUAACAACCUUAUAAAAAAGUAUAGAGAGAUUACACGGAUAAAUGCAAAAAUUAUUGAGGGAUAAAGUGGUAUUUAUAUAAAUUAUAAGGGAAUUGCAUGGAUAUUGAGAUUUGAUCACACGCACUUUUAAAAUACAUUUGGUAUGAACCCCAUAAUUGAUUGUGCAUUUCAUUCAUUUUUCACUUUACAUAAAAUCACAAGGGAGUUAUAUGACUAUUUUAAAACUUUAAGAGGGGGUCAUCUAGCAUUAUGUAAAAUCACUUGGGAAUAAUAAGUAAUGUACCCUUAUUUUCUUUCUUUCUCUUUUCCUUCAUUUUUAAGGCACUGUACUUCUUUUCACUCCAUUAUGUGACAUUUUAACUUUGUGAUGACUCAAAAAGAAGGGAAAAAGACAACACAACCACAAGAAGAAGAGGGAAACAUAUAAGAAUUUGGACUCUCUUAUAUGGAUUGCAAUAUUCUAUUCUUGGCUGAAAUCUUAGACAAUGCAAUUGCACCAAAUCACAUUUUUAAAUUAAUGAGAAUAAUUUAUAAGAAGGCCAAUGAUUUUUGAGGUAAUGUACCCUUUUUGGCUUCAUGAAAUGACAUAAAGACAUAAAAUAUUUUAGGUGACAAAAUUUAUCUGUCUAUGUAUUCACCAUUAGCUUUCUCUACUUUGAAUCUUCAACUAGCUCAUUUUUUCUACCUUUAAACUAAUCUUAACUUGUUAUAGUACUAAUAAUGGAUGAAGGCCCUAAUACCGCUGAUUUUACAGAUGCCACGUGAGUAAGAAUUGUUUACCAGUCAUGGACUAAAGUAAUAACCUUUGUGGUUCAAGGUUGUUUAUUAUUUUUGGACUUAUUCAUUAUUCUCUAGGUGAAGUUUUACAAUGUUAAACAACGUUAAGAGUCUUUUUAAUAUAUAUUUAUUAUAUAUUUGAAUUUGAAAUCCAAAUUUUGCAUAUGUGUCGUGCAUCUAACCAUGAUAAUAUAUACAUUAUCAGUAUAUAUAAGGUUUAUUUAUAAAAAUAAGGAUAGCUUUUUUAUAUAUUGUCAGUGUGUAAUUGUUUUUUAUACUAGCAAGUUUAGAUCAUAACAUAUAAUAUGAAUUCAAAUCAUGCACAUGUGGCAUACAUCCAAAGUUGCUAGUGUAAAAACUCAUUAUACUAUCAGUACAUAAAAAAUUAAUCUUAAAAUUUAUGCAAAAAGAUCAUUAAUUAGGCCUUGGAAAUAAACUUAGCAUUUAAUUGGUUAGAGAAUCUAUGCUUUUUUUUUUUUUUAAAGGAAAGAGAAUCUAAGUUUUGGGUGCUUAUGACAGUAUUGAACAAAUGAUAAAUGGCGGAGUGCCUGGGACCCUUUUUUUUGAGAUGGAUAAAAUCAUUAGCUUUAUAAGUAUUGGAUUGGGAUAAUAUCAGAAACUUCCCCUCAUGUUUCUCUUAAUAUCACCUAGCGCCUCUAAAGUUUUAAAAAUGUCACUUAUUUCCCUUACUUUUGUUAUUUGUGUAACAAAAUUUUGAUAAACCUAAACUACCCUUUUGCUCGCUAAACAAAAACACUCCUAAGCUACUUUCUUUACUCCAAUAAAACCAUCAUCUAAAAAACAAUACACAAAAAUACUGUUGAACUACUUUGUUUACUCCAAGAAAACCAUCAUCUAAAAAACAAUCUCCAGUAAUACUACCACGUUACGAUGCUAUAGUUCAUAAAAAUAUAAUUUUGAAAAACAAAAAGGAUAUUUGCAAAGAAAUAUAUAACACCAAUUUAACUUUAAAUACUCAAAACCAAUUUCUUAUGAACCUUACUCUUUUUUUUUCCAAUUUCUUCUCAACCCGUGUCCAAUCCCUUAAAUCGUAUUGAUCAUUAUGAAAAUCAACUCAAAAUAAAUAACAAAAAAAUCAUGUUAGCAUACUAAAUCAAACUUAAAAAUAGAAGUUUCUAAAUUUUUUAUUUAGCAAUGUUUUAGUCAAGUUAUAGUAGUUAGGAAUUGGUAAUUUAUUAGAACAUUUUUUAUGGUUAUGAGACUUAUUUACCGAGUCAUCUAGUCUAUAAAUAGGGAUUCUUAUUAUUGUUGUUAGUUGACAAGAGUGAAAAUUUGAGAGGCUGUUAUUGUGUGUGAUUAGUUGAUUUAUUUCUCUUCUCCUAUCUAUAUUGGUUUUAUGAAAUUUAUCUCCUAUAUAUUUUUUUUGUGAAAUUUUUUGGGUUCUACAAAUCAUGCCCCAUUCGAUCACAAUCACAAAAAGUGAAAAAUAAACGAAAUUCAAUUUACUAUAAUUUACAAAUAAAUAAUCGCAUAGUCAUCCAAAAAAAUGAGUAAAAUAGAAUGUUGAAAAAAGGAUAAAGAGGAGAAAGCGACUUUUGUUUCUUCUUUUUAAAAAUUUUUUGAGCACCAUUUAUUUGAUAUGCAAAUUAUGUAUCAAGUGAGGGUUAAUAUAGUCUUUUUACAAUUGUUAGGGGAGAUAAGUGAUAUUUUUAAAACUUCAGGGUGCCAAGUGAUAUUAGGAGAAACUUCAAGGGAGGUUUCUGAUAUUAUCCUGUAUUGGAUUUACAGGCUCUACCUGCCUACCUCUUUUGAUUCCUUGUGUUAAAGAAAUAUUGUCUUGUAGUUUUAAAAGUGAUAUUAUGACUUACACAGCAACAAGUUAGAGACGGCAUUGGAUGAGUAAAACUUAAUUUAAAUAUGGGAAAUUGGUCUAUAUUGAACUAGUGCCAAUUUGAACUCAUUAAAGUAAACAGCAAAGGUUGGUCAGCAUUUUUGGCUUUUGAAACAUCUUUAUUUGUCAGAAUUACAGGCAUUUCCAAGUCAAAGUACAGACACUUGUCUAUCUAUUAAUAUCAGUAUGACAUAGAUGCAUUUUCAAAUGGGACCAGCUACAGCCUACAAGUGAGAAACAUCCAAACUCAAAUUCUGGUGUGAACAAAUUUCAAACUACAAUAUUUGUUCAAUCUUGACUGAAGACCAAAGGAGAGUAGGAAGAGUAAUGAGAGUGCAUCUUCCCAGUUCCAACACAAAUUCAAUGAGUUUAAUAGUCUCUAACUUGCAACAUUUUGUACCUGUUUUUAUUGCUUUCCCUCCAGUCAGUUUCCAACUUCUUAGAGAAUUGAUGCUAUUGGGUGCAAAAGCCAAGAAUUGCCUUUUACUAUGGGAAUUUGCUUAGGAAAGCCUGCAAAGUUAGCUAAUGCUUCUUCUAGCCAGUUUUUAGGUAAGACUAUUAUGAACUUGAUACUCUCCAAGCAUGAUUACUUCUUUUUUUUUUUUUUGCUUUGCAUUUGCCUUUUCUUUGCAUGCAUUGACGGAGUUAGAGGGGGCAUGAAGGGGCAGCUGCCACUUCAAGAUUCAGCUAAUCUGAUUUUUACCUCAUAUCUUUGACGUCUGCAAAAGUUGUACAUGAAUACCGGCCAGUCAAAUUACUGGUGAUUUGUAUCAGGGAAGAAGAGCUGCCUGCGUUUAUAAUUAGCUAGCUUGGUAUCGUAUUACAGUUACUAAUUUGAGGACCAAUUCAGACUAAAUAUUGGACAUAUAUUCAGAUGGCUUUAAGUUUCUUUCAGUGAAUAUAGCUUCAAAGACUGUCUAAGACAGAGCAGUUUUAGCAAGGGUUUUCAAGUUUUCAACUGUUCUACUAGGAGCUUGGACAUUGAAAUUGAUGAGACCCCAGGUUGUCAUCACAAAGCAGGAUUAUAUGGAGCUAAAGCUUUUUUAUUGUUCUCAGUUAUAAAGUUUUACAGUUCAUCCCUUCACUUAUGCCAUCGAGAUGAUAUAGUAAUUUACUUUGAGCUGCAGUCAUAUCUGAACGUUAAAGACUCCAGAGAAUGGCUUCGCUUCUGUUCAAUUAUUUACCAGUGUAACUUUCCAGGAGAUGAGCAAUGGUAUCCUGUAAAUAUUUUUAGUAUGUCAACUCAUAAAUUAAUCACUUGUGAUCAUGUUAAAUACAUAAUGAGCAACUAUUGCAUGCUGCAGCAGUCUCUUUUCAGGAUAACAGUGCAAUUGUACACAUUCGAUUUGAUGAUGAAAGUUCUUUCCAAUGUUGAUGAUUCUUGAAAUUUGUAUAGUCCCCUGUACAAAGAUGUUGAUCAGAAGAAGCAUAGAGAUUAUUUUUAUGUUUCAUUGCUGAAAGUUUUGAUUUCAACAUGGAGGAUGAUUAUUAGUGUGCAUUUGCACUUAAUAUGAUAACAUUUUCUUUUCCAGAGACAAAAACAGAACCUGGAAAUGUGAAACAGGAUUCAACUCCUCCCAACCAGCAAAGUCUUUCAGGCAGUACAAACAGGCCUCUUCAAGUACCGAAACCUGAUCCAUCUAUCUCCAGCAAUCUCAAGUCCUAUAAUUUUAAUGAUCUCAAGACUGCCACCAAGAACUUCAGACCGGAUAGUAUUCUCGGUGAGGGAGGGUUUGGAUAUGUCUUUAAGGGAUGGAUUGAUGAGCACACUUUGGCUGCAAGCAGACCAGGAAGUGGGAUGGUAGUAGCUGUUAAAAAGCUUAAGACAGAAAGCUUUCAAGGUCACAGGGAAUGGCUGGUAAGUUGGUUGAUUUAAAAGCUUUUUGUAGUGAUUCUGCUAGAACCCCGUACAGAUUUCACACCCUUGAGUUUGGUGUUUUGUCCUUUUAUAUUGGCAGGCAGAAGUCAACUACUUAGGUCAGCUUCACCAUCAAAACUUAGUGAAGCUUAUAGGGUAUUGCUCAGAAUCAGACAAGAGACUUCUAGUCUACGAGUUCAUGCCUAGGGGAAGUUUGGAAAAUCAUCUGUUUAGAAGUAAGUAUUCUCCCCUCGUAGACACUGUCUCUUUCAUUAUGUAUUUCACCAGCUUUGGUUGUCAUCUGUCUCAAACUUAUCUUCAGAUUUUAUGUUGGAAUUUAGAGUAUAAACUAAGGAACAACACUUGUACUUAGUGCUGCUGCUGCAAAAAAAAGGCUUGUAAUAAAAUCUUCAGCUCUCUAUCGAUGGAGCAUACAGAAAGCAAAUCAACAUAAUUUCUGCUGAAAAAUCUCAACAAAAGAUACUUGUAAUUCAAAAUAGUUUAAAUCAAUAGACACUAAAUGUGAAACUUUCCCUAACAAGAAGAUUUAUUCAACAAUAAAUUCAUUUAUUCUAGUACUGAAAAUCUGCAGUGAAGUUGCAUAAUUCCAACAUUUUACAUCUACUUUAAGUUCAAUUAUGACUGACUUUAAAUUGAAGUCUUGGUAGGAGUGUAUAUUUCCUUCACUUUUUGGUCUUUAAAUUCACUUUUGCCAGCUUGAUAAGGAUUUCUUUUGCUCUUUGGUUUGCUCCGCAUGUCGAAUGUGACUUUGAAAGGAUUAUAUCUGCUUGAUGUCAAUAAGUCCUUUACUAUUUAGAUUGAAGAUGACUAGUUUUGGAUUUCCAUCUGAUCAAAUAGUUGUACCAACCAACCUGUCAUUUCAACCAUCUCCAUAGUCUCUAUAUGAUUCAUUAUUCAUAAACCAAAAGAUAUAUCAUCUGGAUGAGAAAUUCUCUUUUUGCAGAAGGAGUUCAACUUAUGGCUUGGGCAACUCGGAUGAAAAUUGCAGUGGAUGUCGCGCGAGGGUUGUCCUACUUGCAUAGUUUAUGCGCCAAUGUCAUCUACCGUGAUAUGAAGGCUUCGAACAUUCUACUUGACUCAGUAAGUUAUUCGAUUCCAGUUUGAUCUCAGGUAAAAUGUAGCAUAACAUUUUAUACACCAAAUCAAGGUAAAAUGACUCAGCGGCCUAACUUCUGCAGGACUUCACUGCAAAACUUUCAGAUUUUGGCCUUGCAAGGGAUGGUCCAAGUGGAGAUAGAACUCAUGUCUCAACUAGAGUAAUGGGAACUCGGGGAUAUGCUGCACCAGAAUACGUAGCAACAGGUUUCUUCUGCUUUUUACCUUACUGUUUUUUGAAUGUAAACAAUCAUUUUUCAAUUUUGAUAUAUUAUGUCUCCUAAGUCCUAAAAUUAUAACCUUACCAAACAUGUUGCAUCAGUGUGAAGAUUGUAUGUUUAACAACAUUAAAAUAAGAGAAAAUUUUGGCCAUAAAGAUCAGAUCAUUGUUUUUUAAGCUUAUAAGAAGUGCAAUACUUUCUUAUUUCACAGAACAUUUCCGCAUGACAAUUGACAAAUUUCACCUGCUGAAUAACUAUAUAUGUUGGAUGUUCAUGGCUUUGUUCUUUUAUAAUUGGUCAAGACAAGUGGAUAUGCAAGACUGACUUCUGAACUGAAGAAACCAUUCAUUCAAAAGAGCCAACGAAAAGGAAAGGGGAAAAAAUCCCUCAAGCAAGCGAGUAGUUACACUAUCCUCAUGCACAACUGAAUUUAACUCAAACUAUCUCAGAAUCUCUGGCAUCUUUUAUAUACCGAUUUUCUUUUAUCAGAAGCGAUGUCUGCCUGCCUAGGCUAAACAUAUCUUGUCAAUUUGCUUUGUCAACCAAUACUUCAGUAACAGAGGUGGAUUGAAUUUUAUUGAUGUCCUUAACAACACAGGUCACUUGACACCAAAGAGUGAUGUGUACAGCUUUGGAGUGGUGCUGCUAGAGUUGUUAACAGGAAAAAGAGCGAUGGGAGAUGAAAACAUUGGAGGUAAUGAUGAAACUUUGGUAGAUUGGGCAGUGCCAUUCCUUGGUGAUAGCAGGCGAGUUACACGAAUCAUGGACACAAGGUUAGGUGGUCAAUACAACAAGAAAGCUGCCCAAGCUGCUGCGGGUGUUGCAUUACAGUGUCUCCACAUAGAUCCUAAGCUCAGACCAGCAAUGCCCGAGGUACUAACCAACCUGGAAGUGCUUCUCACAGCCAAGGAUAGUCCUAGGCUUCCACUCCAAUCCAAGCUUGACACCAAUGUGACUUUGGCCGAGAAAUCUACUCAUCCUCAGAAGAAUGCAAGAGCAAGCUCACACCCACGAUAACUUGUGUACAAAUCCUGUAUAAUUUGAGACUCUCUAGCAUAACAGCAAGGCUGCUUGAAAUGAAAAAAGGGUUUGAGAGGAAAAUGCACAAGGGAAAGAAAAAAUGAAAGAGAGCGUAAUUGCCAUUUCUUGUAUAUUAGCAAGUUCUGUUACCUGAUAUUGGUAUUUUCCCAGCUGUUGAGUGUAUAAAUUGUUAGAACAUGUAAAUGAAUGCUGACCGACCUCCGCGGUUUUGCCAUUUUUUGUAGUCUUCGUUUCGUUUGCUGUUGGAUUUGCUCGUUGAAAGCACAUUCGUGUAAAUAUUAUGCCAGACAGAGUAACCAUUUUUCAGAUUGAGGCGUCAGUUACUAUUUUCUGAAAAAACUGUGAUGGUUAGAAGUAGAAUAUAAUUGCCCAUUUUUGACAUGAAGUGAAGAAAAUAAACAGAACUUGGUCUUCUGUUUGAUAUGCUCUUGUUUACAGAUGUAAGGUAGAUGCACUAGUUAACUGCAAUUUGGUAUGUGAACUAGUCACAAAUCACAACCACAUUCACUUUUGACUACUAUGUAUAAGGCAUCAUUCGCAGAGGGGCAAGCAAACUAUGCCAUUCAUACAAAUACAGUUUUCUAAAGCUAAGACAAUAAUGUCAAAUUAUCAGCUAAUAGCUGCAAGACCUAAGCAUGCAUCUAGACUGGCAAUCACAUACAUUUGAAUCCUCGAUACAACAAAGAUCCAUUCACAAAUAUAUUGGAUUGGCCAUUAACCUUACAUUGGUAGAGACUACAUCCUUUUCUUCAUAUAUUUUAUCCUGCUGUCUCGUUGUCAAGUUAAGCUCUGAGAGACCCUUACACCAGAGAAAUUAUAGUCCAUAAAACAACAAAGACAAGCUUAAAUUUUGUCGGACAGAACAAAAAUUCAGUAUGAUUAUUAAGAAAUCGCAUUUCAGUUAAACACAAUGACCAAGAGAAAGAACUUCUCGAUGUUUCUUUUUCAUGGGCUAUAUGACAGCAAAUCCCACCACUAAACAAUUCUCGUAACUAAGACUUGAGCUCAAGGCUACACAUUACACCAUCUCAAUUGGAACUAUAGACACUCCAAAUUUAUCUACACAAUCAAUCAGAAAACCUCUUCAUCGAUUCUCUCGUGGGAGAAAAAGGUCCCACAAAAGAAAG
rnacentral:lncRNA from 1 species